UUUAAGUAACUUCAGCCCAUUGGAAAUUAACUGUUCAAGAAAUCUGUGGCAUGAGUGCAGUGCAUCUCUCUCUCUCCCGUUUGUCUCCCGUGUGUGUGCACAGUACGUUGCUGAGAGAAGCCGUGAUCUUGAGCUAAGGAAACGAAAGCGGAAUUCAGAAGCUAGACAAAAGUAGCAGCAACUCUGUUGAAGCUCCAUAACAAGCUGCAAGCUCGGAUUCAUGGGAGAUCGUGGUAAAUUUCGAAAUUUACUGAAAUAUGUGUUUAAUUUGGAAAUGCACGAUUAAAGGGCAUAAAGUGUGUUUUUGUUUCAUCAAUUGGUAUCAGAGCCCAUGGUUAUGCGUUUCCUUGUAAACCAUAGUUGUUUUGUUGAAGAAAUCUCACUCAUGGAAUUUUUUUUAUUAUUUUCGGAUUUUUCGAAUUCUUCGAAUUUGGACAUAUUUCCUCAAACGGUUGUUAAAUAAUGCAUGAGUGAUGAUUUUGGAGCAAAGAUAUAAUUUUUUCGUGUUUUUUGGUGGCCAAAAUCGGGUUGGUAUGGAUGUGGAUGCUGUAAAUGUACUGUACAAUACUGUAGCAACAGCCCGAGGUUGAAGAUGAUGGGACAAUUUCAUUUGGAUCCCUAAAUUUUGUGAAUUAUCACUAUGGCCCAAAAUCUUUGCAAAAUUUUCGAAAUGGUCCUUGACCGAGGGUCAACUUUGUAAAAGAUCAGUUUGAUCCCUUAAAGUUUGGUAAAUUAUAUUAUGACCCAAUAUUUUAUUUUAUUUUAUUUAAAGCUGGGCCAAAAGUUUUAAUAUUUAAAACAGUAAGCAUAAUUCUGAAAAUUCGGUAGUUUAGUCCAAAAUCCUUUAAAUUUUGGCGAUUUUUUCAGAAUUUUAAAUUUAAGAAUAAUCCAUCAUUGUUGAAUUGUAUGGGCAUAAUAUUCAUAUAUUUUAUUGAGGCAUGUAGAUAUUUUAUUUGAUUGAAUAUCUUGGUGGAAACUUUAAUUACGUUUUGACAAAGUUUAUUUAGCCUCAAUUUUGUUAAUAUACGAAAUAUAUAUAUGAUGCAAAACUACAAUUUAGAGUGAUUGUGUAUCUGCUUAUCGUAGGACCAAUCAUGAUAAAUUAUUUGGUGUUUUGCAAUUGGUUGUCCAUUUAUAAUUAUGAAUUAUGGAUUAUGUGAUGGAUUGUUAUUGUUUUGACCAAGAUCCAUACGGGUGAUGAUACUGCCCUGUCGGCAAAUCACUACUUGGUAGGAUGCUUGGGAAGAUAAAGAGGUUUGUUGAGUAUUUUCUACUGAGUGGCUUGAUUACCCUGUCGGUAAUAGGUCAAUGUUGGUGUUAUAUUCAACUUGUCUGCUUUAUCUUUAGGUUAGUGCAUUCCUAUAUUGUUAAAGGAUGCCUAACAUAUUGUGUUGCUAUUGGAGAAACUUAGAAUGAGGAGCAAUUGAUUAUAGCAUGAUUUUAAUUUUUGCAUGCUUGAUAAUUCUUUUGUUAUUGCUUCCUCAGCUCUAGAUAUUCUCUCAUUUCUCCAAGUAGCUUUCCUCAAGAAUUUAACUGGGACAAAUUUUGAGGAAUGACGUGAGUCCAUUUUGUUUUAUUUGUCUACACUGAAUAGAGACUUGGCAUUAAGAGUUGAUGAACCAGCCAAGCCCACAGAUAAGAGCACUGCUGCUGAAAAAGCAGAGUGGGCAGCUUGGGAUGAAUCCAAUAGACACUGUCUGGAUACAAUGAAAUACACCAUUGAUAGAACCACUAGAGAUAGCAUCCCUGCAUGUGAUAAGGCCAAAGAUUACUUGGCAGCUGUGGGAAGAACCUUUAAGAAGGUAGAUAAGGCAGAAAAGGGUAACUAUCUGAGGCUGCUUGCUAAUACCCAGUAUGAUGGUGUUUCUGGGGUCAGAGAACACAUCCUUAAGAUGACUAGUUACCAUAAGAAGCUGAAGGACAUGGAUGUCACUUUGCCUGAUGACUACCUGGUCUUCCAAAUCCUUGAAUCUCUUCCACCACAAUUUGGCAAUUUGAGAAGCCAAUACAAUACUCAGAGAGACACUUGGAAUAUCACUGAGUUGACUGCUUAUGUGGUUCAGGAAGAGGAAUCAUUGAAGAAGGGGAAAUCUCACACUGUCAUGGUGGCAACUACUCAAGAGAGUGGAAGUGUGAAGAAAGGCUCUUCAAAGGGCAGCAAUAAGUUUUUUAAGAAGAAAAAGUUUGGCAAGAAAACUUCACGUGGUAAUUCUUCUACCACUUUUGGUUCCACUGCUGAGAGCUUUAAGGGAAAGUGCCACUUUUGUAAGAAACCUGGGCACAAGAGAGCUGAAUGCAGGGGUUCAAAGCAUGGUUGGAAAAGAAAGGUAUUCAUGUAGCUUUUGUAGGCUUUGAAUCUAAUCUAGUUAAUGUUCCUUCUGAUACUUGGUGGUUGGAUACUGGUGCAACCAUUAAUAUAACGAAUUCCUUACAGGAAUUCAGAAGCAGGAGGGAGCCCAAUGAAGGGGAGUUGAUAGUUCACAUGGGUAAUGGAGUGACAGCCAAAGUUGAAAGCAUAGGAGUUGUCAGACUACAUCUAGCCACAGGCCAUGUUUUGGAUCUAUUAGAUACAGCUUAUAUUCCUUCUAUUAGGAGAAACUUGAUAUCUGUAUCUAUUUUGGAUAGAUGUGGCUAUACUUUUCAUUUUGGUGAUAGAAAAGUUUACUUAUUCCGCAAUUCAGAGUUAGUUGGUUCUGGCACUCUAUAUGAUGGCUUGUAUAUGAUUGAUUUAUUUUCUCGUGCUGUUGAAUCAUCAUCCAAUGCUCAUGUUAUGCAUGUUGUUAGCUCUAAUCGUGUCAGGGUUGAUGAAAAUUCCUCUAUGUUGUGGCAUAAACGGUUAGGUCACAUUUCUAAACAGAGGAUGGAGAGGCUUAUUAAAGAUAACAUUCUACAUAAGUUGGAUUUCUCUGAUUUUGGCACUUGUGUUGAUUGUGUCAAAGGCAAACUUACUGCCAAAACCAGAAAAGAGAGAACUCAGAGGAGUCAACAGGUGCUGGAGUUGGUACAUACAGACAUUUGUGGGCCAUUUACUCCUAUUGCCAUUGGAGGUUAUAAGUACUUCAUCACGUUCAUCGAUGAAUUUUCUCGUUAUGGUCAUGUUGAACUUCUUGCUGAAAAGUCUGAAUCCUUAUCUGUGUUUCAAGCCUUUAAGGCUAAUGUUGAGCUCCAAAAGGGCAAGCAAAUUAAAGCAGUAAGGUCAGACAGAGGUGGUGAGUACUAUGGGCGAUAUGAUGAAACUGGGCGUAAUCCUGGACCUUUUGCUAAAUUUCUUCAGGAAUGUGGAAUAGAAGCCCAGUAUACAAUGCCCGGGACUCCUGAACAGAAUGGAAUUGCAGAAAGGAGAAAUCGUACCCUUCUUGACAUGGUGCGGUGUAUGCUGAGUAACUCCACCUUACCAGAUUUUCUGUGGGGUGAAGCCUUAAGAACUGCAGCUUACAUUUUGAAUCAGGUACCUAGUAAAUCGGUGCUCAAAACUCCUUAUGAGUUGUGGUCAGGAAAGAGACCGAGUCUUCGUCAUUUUCAUGUCUGGGGAUGCAGAGCAGAAGUGAGGCCCUAUAAUCCACAAUCAAGGAAACUUGAUCCGAAAACAAUUAGUGGUCAUUUUAUUGGCUAUUGUAUCGGCUCAAGGGGUUCUAGAUUUUAUUGUCCUUCCCACACUACUAGAAUCAUUGAGUCUGAUCGUGCUAUUUAUUUUGAGGAUGAUCACAAUGGUGGGAGUUCUGAGCCUCGCAGUCUGACAUUGAGAGAAGAACGUGUGGUUUUGCCUAUUCCAUCUUUUCCGACUUCUGCGAUGGGAUUACCACAUAUUGAUGAUUCUUCUGUUGAUCCUGAACUUCAUCAUAAUAUGGAGCCUAUGAUUGUAGAGGAUGAUGGUACUGAUGUGCCAUUGAGGAGAUCAGAGAGGAUCAGGAGACCUGCAAUUUCUGAUGAUUAUGUUGUUUACCUGCAGGAGCAUGAUUUUGAUGCUGACUCUUCAUUUGAUCCUAUUACCUUUCAAGAGGCCAUCAGUUGUUCAGAAUCAUCAUCUUGGAUACAUGCGAUGCAUGAUGAGAUGGCAUCUAUGUAUCAUAAUGGGGUUUGGGAUUUAGUUGAGUUACCAGAUGGAUGCAGACCAAUUGGUUGCAAAUGGGUUUUCAAAACCAAAAGAGAUGCCAGAGGUCAGGUAGAGAGGUAUAAGGCCAGGCUUGUGGCUAAGGGUUUCAGUCAAAGAGAAGGCAUUGAUUACACUGAAACCUACUCUCCUGUUUCUACCAAAGACUCUUUUCGUAUUAUCAUGGCAUUGGUAGCUCAUUUCAAUUUAGAAUUGCAUCAGAUGGAUGUGAAGACAGCUUUUCUUAAUGGGAGCUUGUCUGAAGAUGUAUACAUGGUGCAACCUGAUGGUUUUGUUGAGUCUGGUAGAGAAAACAUGGUGUGUAAGCUUAAAAGGUCCAUUUAUGGACUUAAGCAAGCAUCCAGACAGUGGUAUUUGAAAUUUCACGAUAUUGUCACCUCUUAUGGGUUCCAGGAGAAUGCCGUUGAUCAGUGUAUAUAUUUGAGAGUCAGUGGGAGCAAGUAUAUCAUUUUGGUGCUUUAUGUGGAUGAUAUCUUGCUCGCUGCUAAUGACACUAAUUUGUUACUUGAGACAAAGCAAAUGUUGUCAUGCAGCUUUGAUAUGAAGGAUCUUGGUGAAGCCCAUUAUGUAUUAGGGAUAGAGAUUCUUCGUGAUAGAUCUAGAGGAAUUCUAGGUUUGUCUCAAAAGACUUACAUUGAUCGCAUUUUGAAAAGGUUCAAUUUGCAGUCUUGUGCUCCUGGGAAAGCUCCAAUUUCGAAAGGUGACAAAAUUUCCAAGUCUCAAUGUCCCGAUAAUGAUGUAGACAAAGCUAGAAUGCAAACAGUCCCGUAUGCAUCCGUUGUGGGUAGCUUGAUGUAUGCUCAAGUCUGUACUCGCCCUGAUAUUGCUUUUCCAGUGGGAGUACUUGGAAGAUACCUCAGCAAUCCUGGAUUUGAACACUGGAAGGCUGCAAAGAAAGUACUCAGAUAUUUGCGAGCCACUAAAGAUUUUGUAUUGACAUAUCAGCAAUCUGACUAUUUGAAUAUAGUUGGAUAUUCUGAUGCUGAUUUCGCAAGGUGCUUGGAAGACAAGAAAUCCACAUCUGGUUACAUCUUUAUGAUGGCAGGAGGAGCUAUAUCAUGAAAAAGUGUCAAGCAGACACUUAUAGCUUCUUCAACAAUGGAAGCAGAAUAUGUAGCCUGUUUUGAGGCUACACGUCAUGCUUUAUGGAUGCAGAAUUUUAUCACAGGGCUAGAUUGUAUAUUGGCCAUUCCGAGGCCAUUAAAGAUAUACUGUGAUAAUUCUGCGGCUGUUUCUUUUUCUCACAAUACAGGGAGUUCCUCACGUUCCAAGCACAUUGAUAUUAAAUAUUUGUUUGUGAGAGAGAAAAUUGCUCUAUCUUGUGUAUCAGUAGAGUAUAUCCCUACAGAGCUCAUGUUAGCCGAUCCACUUACUAAAGCUUUAGCUCCAAAAGUAUUUAGGGAGCAUGUAACGCAUAUGGGAUUAUUUGAAUCCACUUAUAUAUGCUGAGUCAGUGGGAGUUCUGGUUUGUAUUAUGAGUUGCAACUUAAAUGAGCUUAUGUAUUACUCAUUUUGUUAUCAUGCAUGCAUGUUGUUAUGUGAUAUUGAUAUGCCAUAUAUUGUGUACACAUUUGGCUGCGUAUGGCAUUAUGUAUAGAAUGAGGAUACGAUGGUCCGAGACAUUUUGCUCAGUCUCAAUAUGGACAUUAAAGACUGAAGCAUUAUGAUUUAGCUUCAGUGUGCUUUCUUGAGACAUUUUGAUUUAGUCUCAUUAUGAUUAAAAAGGAAGCUCGCUUCUCGAGACAUUUUGCUAUAGUCUCAUUAUGGUUAUAAAGAAGCGAUGGUCUAGGAGACAUAUUGUUUUUGUCUCAUUUUGCUAGACAUCUGGACUUUAUGGAAAUGAGCAUGUUGAUCACAUUGUCAUGUUAUUUCCAUAAUUAUACUUGUAUACUACUACAUGGUCACGUGUUUAUAAGUGUCUUGUUAUAUGGAGCAUCCUGUCGGUGCACAUAUGAUUUGAUAUUUAUGGCACAUUUUGGACUUGUUUAUGUUCUGGGUGAUUGCUUGUAUUUGACCUUUUGUUAUAGUCACAUAUUGAUUAAUUCAGUUGUUUUCAAAAUAUUAUUUUAUUUUAAAUUUAUCAUUAGAGUGAUUUCUGUCGUCCAAGUGGGAGAUUGUUAGAUUUAUUUCUCACAUUAUGUGGACUGACAUAAAUCAUUCUAAUUGUUUUCUAUAUUUUACCGAAUUAAUACGUGACUAUAGUCAAAUAUUAUGGAGCAAUUUUGACAUACCCCGUACAGUAGUAUAUUAUGGACAAGUAUAUCCUUAAUUGUGUUAUUUUCGCCCAUAAUGGGAUGGGCAAUUUUGUACUAACACAUGAGGGGUCCCUGCGCUCAACCACUGUAUUUAAGUAACUUCAGCCCAUUGGAAGUUAACUGUUCAAGAAAUCUGUGGCAUGAGUGCAGUGCAUCUCUCUCUCUCCCGUUUGUCUCCCGUGUGUGUGCACAGUACGUUGUUGAGAGAAGCCGUGAUCUUGAGCUAAGGAAACGAAAGCGGAAUUCAGAAGCUAGACAAAAGUAGCAGCAACUCUGUUGAAGCUCCAUAACAAGCUGCAAGCUCGGAUUCAUGGGAGAUCGUGGUAAAUUUCGAAAUUUACUGAAAUAUGUGUUUAAUUUGGAAAUGCACGAUUAAAGGGCAUAAAGUGUGUUUUUGUUUCAUCACUUGGGUCUUCCAUUGACGUAGGAUCUGGGGUGUGAAGUAAAUGGAUCCCACAUUUUUUCACCCCGCAGCACUGGCACUCCAAAGGUGGAAAAACAUUAAAGUGGACUGCCUCAAGAAUGCAAUUGCAUUUCCAAAAACCAUUAAAAUCCUCUUCACAGAACAGAUAGUGCCCCAAAUGUAAGUGAUAUGAUUCUACAUAAUUAACUCUGCUCUGAGAUAAUCGUGUGUCAUGCGUACCACAAUCUUUGGUGGUUUUCACUUUGAGCUCAAAAGAAAAUGAAAACCAUCUGCCACAAUCUACAUGACGGUCUGAAAAUGCUAAAAUAGCACUAAAUGCAAUGCCCUGCACUCUGCUAUUAUUGAAGAAAUCUGGCGGCAUCUCCAAGGUUAUAAAAGAUCCCACACUUUGAAACUCAAACCACUUUGGAAUUUCAUUCCCAGGUAGUACUAUAUGACCUUUGCCCAAGGAAAAACCUCUCUGUACCAAAAAAACAUAAUUUUAAACCCAAAAAAAAAACAAAGAUUGUAGAAAUUGUAAGUAGAGAGAGUUAAAGACACACAUUUAGCCAUAAUUCUUGCCAUAUUUCUUGCAAACGUAGAACUGGCGUAUGAUUCGUAUGCUGAAUUCUCAGGGUAUCUUCAACAAUUCCUGCAGUAGAAUUACCUUCCAAUUUAAAAUUAUUGCUCCGGUCAAAAAAAAUUGCCUGUAAGAUUCAUAACUUAGAGAACAAACCUAAAAAUGGUUGCAGUGCCAAGCAACCUCGUUCAAGGAAUGGAGACUUUUGUACGAAUUGGAACCUCUCACCAUAACUUAAGAGGAGGUAUCCCGACACGAAAAGUUGGAUAAUGCUUUCUGGUAUUCUCUCAAUAUUGGUUUUCGCUAGAUUAAAUGUUAUUGGCGAGGAUAAUUGGCCGAGACAUUCGGGCAAUCUCUGAAGAUUUGAGCAACCACAGAGAUUAAGAACUCCAAGAGAUUUCAAUCUAUAGAGGCUGCUUGGGAGAUUCUUAAGCCUUUUACAAUUUAAAAGGUCUAAGUAUCCGAGCCUAAGUAGACGCUCAAUUGAUGAGGGCAGUUCUUCAAUUGCAGUCCCCCUUAAAAAUAACCAGCUUAUAUUACCUGAUGAGAUCUCUGGAAGCCUUUUCAGUUUUGGGCAGCCCGAAAGAUCAAGUUUGGUAAGAAAUUCCAAGUUAAAUAUUCCAGAUGGAAGACUUUUCAGGCUUUUGCUACCUCUUAGAUUCAAGAUAACCAGCUUGUUCAGACGUGGCAUCAACGUGGGAUUUGGAAUUUUGGCAAUUAGCUUAUGGCAGGCAGCAUGGAUUAUCUGGUUUAACUUACUAUAAUGCUGCUCUGUCAAAAAAGAGGCCAAGACAAAAUCGUUACCACGUAUAAUAAUUUAAUGUUGUUAUUGAGAGAUUGCACAUAUAUAAUAAGAUAUGCAUACCUUCACACAAUCCCAAAGUUGUUCAAUGUCAUUAUCAGGCACUUCAAGUAACAUAAGCUUCUCUGCACUGAGGUUUGAGGGAAAUGACUUCAACGGAUAUCCAUGCCAGUGAAGAUAUUUCACUUCAGCAAAUCCAGGGUCUUGCAAAUAAGACAUCUUACAUUUGUUCUCUCCAUUGAAUAAUGAACUAUAGAACUUUAAAAAUCUCAAUUUAGGCAUCUUUGUGAAAGUAUUGGGAUUUAGACGGAGCUCUUUUACUUUUUACAUAUCCAAACAUAUGCCCUCAAUUUUUUCUGUCCCCUAAAAAUAAAUGAAAAAGCAAUAAAGUUAAAAUCAAAUGAAAGAUAUGUGUAUUCCACCAAUGAAUCGCCCUUCAACAAUACAUAGGGAUAAUUUUUGGGGCAAUUUUCUCACUAAUUCACAAUUAGAGGUAGCUUGUAGUUAUUGCUAGGCAGUUAAACUUUUAAUUGCAAAUGCACAAAGAAACAUAAUAACACAAGUAAUACUUAAUAUAAAAAUUCCGUCUGUGUACUAUACAAAUUGGCAUAUCAAUUAUGCUUGCAAACGAUUAUGCAAGUUGUCAUGGCAUUUAUAAUUUAUUGCUACGUCAUCUAACGGAUAUGGUUUUUUCUAAUCAUUGUCGCUCUUCUAUUAAUUCUAAGACUCAUCAGUUCGAGCAUAUAUAAAUAUAUUCAUAUCAAGUUUGUAAAUGCUAGAAUAUUUCAAAAUAAUUAUCCACAACAAACUGCUUACCGUGUUAUAUGUAAGAACUUCAUAGAUAUCCUCAUGAUGCCACAACCUACUGCGGUUUCCAGGAUUAAUUGAUUCUUGUCGAACAAUUUCCCUACCCAACUCUUGUAGUAAAUCAUGCAUUCUUAUCUUGUUGUAUGAAUCAAUAGCAAUGAGAGAUUUAUCAACAAGAACACUUAUUCCUAUUUCUGGGUAGAAACCGCUUGCAUUAUGGAAUUUCAUUACUAGAUUUACAUCCUCGCCUUGAAAAUUUCUCGUAACCAACGUCAGGAUGGUUUUGUUUGAAGGCAUGUCGACUGAAAAUCUCAAGAGCGUGAUGAUAUUCUAAUGCCUCCAUCUCAUAUAUUUUCCUCACCCCCCAAUUUCUAAGCACUUGUUUAUUUCUGGUGGUUAUUAUGAUUCGACUCACAGGCGUCAACCGAUCAAGGCUUCCAAUUAAAGAUUCUAAUUGGCUGAAGCAAGUCACAUCAUCAAAAACAAUCAAAACCUUCAUGCGGCUGAGCCUUCUAAAAUUGAGGUCAAUAUAAGGCAUCACAUUUUUAUCCUUCAAUAAAUUUGAAAGAAGUUUUUGUCGCAAGCAAGCUAAUCCUCCUGGUCUUUGUGACUCUUCUCUAACAUUUUCGAGGAAGCAAGAACCUUCAAAAUCACCCGAGAUUUUGUCGAAAAUAGCUCUAGCGAUUGCUGUUUUGCCUAUACCACCAAUGCCCCAAAUCCCUAAAGCGUAAACAUCUUUCGACUCAACACCUAAUAGGGAUUCAAUUUCCUCAACUGUUGAUUCCACUCCAACCAGCUGGUUUUUGUUAUCACGCGGCCGAAACACUUCAUCCAAUCUCUUCAAAAUGUGAUUAACAACUUCAUUUAUAAGUUCCGACUCACGCCUAGCAAAUACAUAAAAUUAGCCGCGGUAACUUCAAAUUAAUUAAUAGGAGGAAUUUGCAUUAAAUAUGAAAUAAAGUAGAUUGUCAAUUUUCCUAUUAAAAUUAAUAUAUACCACUAUAAGUCUACAAUCUCACAAUAAAUUGAUAACUCUUAAGUUACAAGAAUAUUCGUGAGUUUUUUUUUUUUUUAAUGGUGAUAUAUAGAAAUGAAAUUGCUUGAAAAACUACAGAGCACCACUAAUUUUGCUAUAUAAAAAUUGUAAAAUUCUCGCGCUUUUAUUAUUAAUUCUGUCAAAAUUAUUUUAUAUGAGCACAAAAGUGGGGAAGUCAGGAAGUCUUGAAUUUGAUGCUUAAAAAUUUUUAAAAUUGUAGUUUAGCAUCCGGAAAUUUAACUAAGAGUGCUGCGUGAAUUUAUUGUUAAAUUUUAGUAUGAGAAAUUUAAUCUUUCUUCAAGCUUCGAAAAUGAAUCUCCAAAACUCCCAGUUUGGUUUCUCACGUCUGAUGGAUCAACCCGAUAGAAAACCGGAAUCACAAUCUGUGCAUACUCCUUGCAGUCGAGGAUCUUUACAAGUUCAUCGAGACACCAUCUGGAAGAUGCAUACCCUUCUGAGAAGACGAUAACUGAAAUGGCUGAUGCUUCAAUUGCAUUCACCAGUGACUCCGAAAUUUCGUCUCCUCUGUUAAGUUGGUCAUCAAUGAAAGUUUGGAUAUUUUGUCGACACAGAGCAGAAUAGAGAUGGCUAGUAAAGUUGUCUCGGGUGUCCUCUCCUCUGAAACUAACAAAAACAUCAUACUUCUUGUUGUUUCGAUAAGAAGAAGCCAUAAUCAACAGAAACAGUUGAAUUGAUUAGAGAGAGAUUUCGAUUCGGAUGAAAACAAUUAUUGAACGAAAUGUGCGUGACUCUAUAGAAUAAAUCGAUGCCAUGAACCUUCCUUCAAGUUCCGUGAUAGUUUUUCAAUUUCAUCUCAUUGUCCAACCACCGUGCACUCCACGAUGAUUGAUUAAUUCCACUGCUUUGUAGACUGUUAACUGAAAAUUCCACACGAACACCAUACUUUUCAACACACGUGCUUCUGUGCUUUAAUUUUUAUCUCUGAAUUUAUCUUAUCCGUCCUCAUCUCUCAAUUAAUUGUAUUUAGUUUCAAAAUUAUUCUUUUUUUUAGUAGCUCUUAUUCAUGUUCCUUAGGGUUGACUGUUAAGCAUAUAAAGUCUAACUUUAAAAAAAAUAUUAAUUAUUUAUUUUUUAUAACUUAUAUAUGAUUUUUAAAUAUUUACAUUUAAAUUAAAAAAGUAUUUUUUUUUGUGACCUUUGUCGAAAUGAGAAAAUGUUUGAAUGGAAAAAAAAUACUAUAUUCUAAGAAUAUUUCUAUUCAAUAUUGUUAUUUCCUAAACUAUAAACGGGUCACAUGUCGCUAAUUGUCAAAGCAAUAGCAAGCUGUUAGCUUAAAGCAAAGCACAUUCAUGCUUCACCCAUGAGAAUACAACCAAUUCUAAUGCAUGUAUUGUGACACACGUGCAAGCUAAAAGGAGGCACAUGUGGUUAAUUGUCAAAGCAAUAGCAAGCUGUUAGCUUAAAGCAAAGCACGUGCGUGCUUCAUCAAUAGGAUCUGUGAGCAAAGCACGUGCGUGCUUCAUCAAUAGGAUCUCUGAGUGGAUUAUUAUUAUUACUAUUAUGUAUUUUACAAAGCAUUUAUGUUUAAUAGUAUGAUUUAGUAAAAUAUUAUGAUUAUAUGUACGUAUAUUAUAUGAUUGACUGAGUCAUGAGAUGUAAUUGACAUGCACCAUAUGUGUACCUUUUCCCAUAGGCUCUACGCAUGCGUAUUGAGAAUUAAAUUACUCGACCCUUGUGAUGUUGUUAAUUCUACCGAGUAUUGAGAGGUUUUUCCCCCUUUUUACUCAUGCGAUGAUGAUCCCAGUGAGUAUUGAGAGUUAUUUCCCCUGUAUAUUAUUUGGUGCAAUUUUGUCAUGUAUGUAUAUACGAGUUCAUGUUUGCUUUUGUAAAGCGUUCAAUGUAAAGUUAUGUCAUACAAUUAUGACGAGCACUAAAGCACUAAUUUAUUUAUAUAUAUAAUUAUAUUCAUUCAUUGAGUCACAAGCUUACUAUUUUCCUAUUUACCCCAUUUCUCUAAGGUUUCCAUAGGAUUUCGUGUAGUUCAAUUUCUGAUAAAUUGAGGUUGGACCACGACACGCAUUACUGCACGACUUACAUUUUGACCACGUUUAUGUUUAUAUGUAUAUUUUCGAAGUGAAUGUAUGUACAAUGAGAUAUGAACUAUGUAAGUUUUUAAUAAAUUUUUGAAUGAGGCACAAAGAUUAUUAUAUGUUUAUAACAAAGGCCAAGGCUAGUGUUAUAUAUUCAUGAAUUAAGUUUAUGUCAUGAGCUUUAGAUAUAAAAUUGCAUGAUUCACCCCAGAUCCAACAGAAGGGUUGACGCGGUUUGUGUCAUGUAUGAUAUGUACAUAUUUAUAUUCAAUAUAACCACCAUUUGAAUAAUAGUUUUUUCAAAUAAGUGCACAUGUGUCGUAGCAUGAUUCACUUGUUGUAUGGCUAACAUGGUACUUCUGAUGUAUUCUAAAAUUUCUUCCUUAGUUAGAGGCAUUUGUUUUAAAAUUUUAUUUAAAAGAAGGUCAUUUUAAAUUUCAAAAUGUAAAGUGUAUUUUCUACAACACUAAAGGAUAAAACGGCCUUCAAUAUAGAUUUCUUAAUAAAUUUUAAGAGAACUAACAGAAAGUGGUUAUUUCAUUCAUGGUUAUUAAAUCAAAAUUUGAAUUAGAUCAUCACUGGUCCAAAAUAAACUAUCGUCAUUUCAAAUUGAAGCAUGAAACCGUGAAUGAAAGCAUCUUUAAAUAAAAGGAUACGUUUUUAUUAUAUAUGACAUUGUUUAAUUAGACAUAUCUUUACAGUCGGACACAUUUUUAGAGCACCAUUUAUAUUGACAAUAUUCCAGCAUAAAAUAUGUCCCUCUCCUUAUACGAGUAUUUUGCAAAUAAUUUGCAAAUAAUACAGAGCCACCACUAGUUCAAAAAUAAUAAAACAAUAACAUUGCUCACUUUCAUUGAUGGUUGGAUUGUUUCUGGGUUAUCCUUGUUUUUUUUUUUUUGUUUUAAUUGCUUUACAUACAUUAUGUGUGUAAUUUUUUAAUGGACAAUCUUCAUUUGAAACAUGAAAAUUUUAAAAAACUUUCCGAUUUGUGCAGGGUAUGAAGCCUCUUAAGUAGGACUUCUUAGGUGCUACUAUUGUGUUCGGCAAAUAUUUUCUUCUUUUAUUUUUCUUUUUUCAGUCACCAUAAUGGGGGUCAUGGUGAAACAACUUACUAAUCACUCUGGACAGGAAUGGGCUUCUAUAAGUAAAGCACACUUAUUUCACUCUUUCCUUAGUAUGGAGCUGCUUACUGUUGGGAUGAAGAUGGUAAUAGCUGCUUUAGAAAUUAGUUUUCUUCAGUAGGAAAAUUCUAAAUGUUGGAAAAUUUAAAGUUGUACUAGAAAACAAGCUGCCUAUUCAACCAAUGGCUAAAUGUAGCAUAGUAGUCUCCUUAGACGAUUAAUUAGAUUGCAUUCCUUUUGAUCUCUCUCUUUUCAUUUUUUCUCCUUUUUGACUUGCACUACUCUGUUCCUUUCCUCAAAAAAAAAAAAAAAAAUUGCACUUCUCUGCUGAUGUCUUCCCAAUAUCCUAUGAUGUACAAAUGCACAAAUACUCUUGUUGUGACGUUAACCAUAUAUGGUUUCUUUUUUAUUUUGGUCCAUUUUCCAAGAAUAGUAAGAAGAAUACUUUAUUUUAAUGAUGCUUCUCUGCUUUCUUAAAUGUAUGCUUGUUCUUGUUCACAUUUUACUGUUCAUCAUAAUUGGUAUGGUCUUUCUUUGGCAUCAUCAAGCCCCAAAUGUGAUGAAACAUUUUGAAUUUCUUAUUGAUCCAGCCUUCACUUUAGUAUAAUGUAUACACCGUACCUGCAGUAAGUAUCAUUGAUAGUUCUGAAUGAGUGCGAAAGCAGACUAGUGUGUAACUUCAUGAUUUAUUUACUGGUUUGCACAUCCAUAUUUCAAAUGGUUUACUGGUCUCUGGCCUAAAGAGAGGGAAAAUGAAAGACUUGUGAGACAAUCCUCAUGGCUUUGUUGACAUCAAUUUGGUGGUUGAUUGAGAAAUGAAUGAUCAUACAUAUACAUAUACAUAUACAUACAUACAUACAUAUAUAUAUAUAUAUAUAUAUAUAUAUAUAUAUAUAUAUAUAUAUAUAUAUAUAUAUAUGAUUUUCAUGGACUAGCAUUUGACAGAUGACUUGAUUAUUAUUUUUUGUCUGUCUGUUUAUUGAUUCUGUUGCUCAGUCAUAGCUAGACAUUGCUCAUUGACCAUUUGUUAGUGACAGGCUCAAAUGAGAUGCUUGAACUUUUGCUUUUAUCUCUUGUACUUACUUGCUUGGAUUUAGUUUGGAAAAGCAAAUCAACUAAGAUUUAGUCAAGUGAGCUUUGCAGCAAGUUGGGAUCCGACCCAAGUCAUAAUCCAAGUCGAGCAGAAUAUCCACAAAAACCAUCAUCUCAUCCAUGAAACAAAAGCAAUUUUGAGAGCCAGCAUUGGGGAAUCCUUUACUAGACAUGAGUUUUGAUAUUUGAUAUUAUGAAAGUCUUUUAUUUGACAUGUAAAGGUAGGGAUUUACUUUGUUUAACCCCUAUUCGUGCUAUAGGUUGACAGUAUUCUAUCACUUAAAUGCACUUUUUCCAAUCAGCCAAUGGCAAGCAAAUUGCUAGAAUUGAAAUGAGGCAUAAGUUAAAUGCUUUCUUGAAAUGUGGUGAAAUAAUUUGUUUAUGGUAUUACCUGUCGUGGCAGAACCAUCCUCCUCAAAUUAUUUAUAAGAAACUCUUUUUACUCUCUAUUAGGGGUGGGAACUAUUUAGUUUGGUUCGGUUCAGCCCUUGAACCGAACCAAACUGAAACCAAAUGGUUCAUGAAUUUAUGAACCAAAUUAUAGAACCGUUCAGUUUGAUUUGAUUUUAUCCUAUAUAUUCGUUAUUUAAUAAAAAAAUAUAAUAUAAUAAUACGCUAUUAAUACAACAAUAAUCUUGAGUCUAUAAAUUAGCAAACAAUAAACAACAUAAUAAAAUCUAAAAAUAGUAAAUUAACAUAAUAAAUUCCAAAAAUAAUCUAGAAAUUCAUAAAUAAUAACCAAUGUAAUAAAAUUUAACAAUAAUAAAUUAAAAUAAUAAAGUUCAACAAUAAAAUAAAGUGUAUGCAAUGACAUAUAUAAUAUCAUGUAUUAACUAACAAACAGAAAUAAAAAAAAAGAUAAAUUCUGAACUAUUUUUUAAUUUUAAUUUUAAUUUUUUCUUGAACCAUUUGGUUCGGUAAUUUGGUUCAGUUUUGAACCGAACCAAAGAAAAAAUCAAAUGGUUCAGAAUUUCUGAACCAUUUAGUUUUUUGCUCCGAACCAAACCGAACCAAAUGCCCACCCCUACUCUGUAUGCUUCUGAACCAUUUAAUUUUUUGCUGCGAACCAAAAUCGAAUUAAAUUAUCAUAAUACGGUUCGGUUCGAUUCGGUUCAGACUGAACCGAACCAAAUGCCCACUCCUACUGGAGUGGGCCUGGGCCUUCAAAAGGAAAGGAAAAGUUGUACCUAAAGUUGUGAAAAGGAAGAAUUUGCAAGUAAAAAAUGAAUAUAUUAUGCAUGGCUACAUAAAUUGGUACAUAUAGCUUUUGCACCUAAUCUGAUUAUCUCGAUUCCUGGACCCAGAACUAAUAGCCUAAUUAUUACACAUGAUAGUUUGCUGCUGCCAUACUACUUACAUGCGAGUGCUGAUUUUUAAACAGAAAUAUUCAACAGAGCACUGACAGAAACAGAGUUAACACCCGAGCCGGGUUACCGUGGUAAUUGAAAACAAUCAAUUAACACGAUAAAUCUGCUGGGUUUGUAGUUAAUUCUGCCAGCGCUCUGUCAGCUCCAGUAUUUGACUUAUUGACCUAUCUGUGGUUGGAAGGAAAAAUGAUUUAAGCAAGCUUUCGAAAAUGUUUUAUCCUUGUUUUAUUUCUGAAUAUCAGCAGUGCAUCAUUUUGAAAAUGUAACUGUGGGGUUUCAGGAUCCUCUUGAGCCAGUUUUGUUGUUCACAAAACCCCUUGUGCCAGAAAAAUUGGAUGCUGUAGGUAUUGUUCCGCCAUCAGAUUCUUCUACGAGGAAUGGCACUAUAGCACAAUGGAGACGUCUCUGUAUCGACUCAAUUCAAACUAAUUGUACAACUUCAUUUCUGAAGGAGUCACCAUUUUUUUUUUCCCAUUAAUCCCAUUUGGAGAAUGUGUACGUCAGGUGUUAAUGCUUAUAACGAAAUGAUGCACUAUGUUUGGUGUUUUUCAAUUUAAAAAUGUGUCUAAUACUGUAUUUUCAGAAUUGGACUAUAAAAAUAGAAAUAAAGAAAACGAUAUAAAAUUAAGUGUUAAGUAAGUAAAAGCACCAGGUCGGCCGUGCUACUAUUUUCGUCCCGACAUGGAUCACCUCAACCAAAUGGUACGAGCAGAACACGAGGACAAAUAUUGUCCGACCAGAGACGAGUACUGACCAGAGGUGUAUGCCGAGCCGAUACCCAUCUCCCGAAAAAGCGAGAACACGAUCCCACAGAAUCACGGCAGUUGCGCUUUUCCCAGAAUCGUUGCGAGAGAUGCGAGAUCCCACGUUUACCCGUAAUGUAGCAGUUAGAGUCCCGUGAGAGGCCACCACCCGAAAAAGGAGGGAUGAAGGCUAAGCGGGAACGUGGGACAACGACUAUAAAAGAAGGAGAAAUCGAUGAAGAAGGGGACAGAAAAAUUGAAAGAGGGAAAACGCUGCCAAAUUAUAACCAGACUAUUUUCUUACAAACUUCGGAUAAAUUAGAAACUAUUCUUGAAUCCAAAUUGCACUGUUUUCCCGUAAACACAUUGAGCUAACUUAGGCAUCGGAGGGUUUACGUCGGCAAAAUCACCGACAUCUUUGAUCCGUUUUUGUGAACGCAGGUCUAGAAAGAGAAAGAAGGGCGAUUCCAACCCCAGUGGUUCGAGCAACAGUUGAUAACACAAACGUUGGUGAAAGAUUCUGGUCGGUAAAAAGGCGAGCAUAUUUUAGCAUCAACAUUUUGGCGCCGUCUGUGGGGAUCUGGAUAAAAAGCUACCACCGAAUCAGUAGUUACCGGAGAAGCAGUGAACGAUUAGACAUGGAUGUGCCAAGGAAGGACGCUUUGAGGGAGGAUAACGAAUCUGGGGAGAUAAUCACUCUUAGGGAAAUUGCAAAUGAAGCCCAGGAGAGGGUAAUGCAAGAUCAAUUAGAGCGGAUGGAGAAACAAAUAGAGACUCUCGCGACCAUACUGUAUGAGUUAAGAGACGAGCGGAGAAGGGAUUGUGAAACCCCCGUGGGGAAAGAUGAUGUCGGAGCAGAACCCAGCCUCCGGAGGCGUAGAGUCGAGGAAGUCCCUCCGCCGGCGGACCAACCUAAUGGGGUGCAUCCCCACAGAAGCACUGGUCGGAUUACAGGAGAACAAGUAGAUGAAGGGAGGAACCAACCUCGCCCCGGGUGGGUAUUGGAAGCUGAUGGCCGAGGGGCCAGUGUUGAUGAAGGAGAGCUCAGAUAGCGGUUGCAGAAUGCCGAGCAGGAGCGAGAUCAGAUAGCUGCGCGUGAUCCUGACCGUGCUGUAGAAUUGGAGGGAGAGGUGCGCAGAUUAGCGCAAGUGAUAGAGGAGAUACAAGGUAAGAGGAAGCCCCCGAGCUGGAGAAUAAUGUUAGAUGAAGAAUCUCCACUAUCAACUGAGAUCAUGGGUACUGUAAUCCCAAGAGAUUUCCGCUUCCCCGACCUCAAAUACUCCGGGCGAAGUGAUCCACUGGUGCAUAUUGAACGUUUCAACGACAUGACGGGUGUUCAGGGGUUAACACCAGCUCAGAGGUGUAGGGCCCGAGAAUGGUACCGCAAGCUGUUACGAGGAAGUAUCAGAGGGUACGAGCAGAUGUGCCAAGAGUUGGCCGAACAGUUCUGAGGAGCGGUGGCCCCAGAGGAUGAUAUGAUGGAACUAAUGGGGAUGAAGCAGGAGGAACAAGAACCCCUUCGAGAUUUUGUAAAGCGAUACCACCGAGCCGUGCUUGAUUUGGGAGCUUUCAAUCACCCGCAAGCGUUGAGGGGAUUAAAGGAGGGUGUGAGGAUAGGCCGGCUAUGGUAUAACCUGAGAAGCCCCCUGGUACAGAAUUAUUCAUCGGGGUAUGAGCAGGCAAAGAGAGACAUUGAAAUCGAAGAAGAAAAAUCGGCAAGGAUAAAGAGUGAACAACUGGAGGAACUGAGACGAAAGGAAAGGAGAACCCCAAAUGGGAGCGGGUCGGGAAAGCGAGCUGGGGAGUCUUCAAUGAUGGGUGCAGUAUCCGCUCGAUCUCGCCCUUAUCCUAUGGCUCAGAGACCGCAGCAGGUCCAACACAAUCGGGCUCAGCCCCCGCGCCCCCAUUCCUGGAGCGGCAAUGAGAAUUCCGGCAGUUGGCUAACCAUCCUUAUCACAACGCUCCCAGAGCACUACAUACAGCCAACCCCAGAACGGGACGAUCAGGUCAGCUACCUUCAAUAUCCGCUCGGGACGAUACUCAUGAUAGACGAGCAGUGCAGCUGAUUGACCAGAACCCAGCGUACAGACAAUACACCCCGCUAAAAGUCCCUAUGGAGGAGUUGUAUGAGAGAAUCGAGGGACGAGGCCUGUUGUACCCUCCAGCCCCUAUAACAAAACCUACUCACCGACGGGAUAAGAGCAGAUUCUGCAAAUUCCACGACACUCACGGUCACACCAUCAGCCAAUGUCGUGACUUAAAGAUUCAGGUGGAAGAUUUGGUAAGAAACCGUUAUUUGGAUGAAUAUGUAGAUGGGGUCUCCCGUCAUUGAAUCACAGUACACGCGGGAUGAAGGAGGUGAGAGGGGCCUGGAACGUGAACAGCCAACUAUCCGUGUGAUAGCAGGAGGGCCAACCCUGGCUGGGGAUUCGAACAGGGCACAGAAGAACUAUGGGAAAUACGCCAUGACUAGCAAAGAAGUUCUUUUCAAUUUGCCAGCAGCCAAGAAGGCAAAAUUGCGGCAAGUUCCCAUUAUGUGAACAGAUGACGAUGAAGAGGGUAUCUUAUAUCCUCAUGAGGAUGCACUAGUGAUUAAGGCAAUGGUGGCUGGUACAGAACUGCGACGAAUACUGGUAGACACGGGCAGCUCGGUUGACAUCUUGUUUAAGUCGGCCCUAGAUGAUAUGGGAAUUGCAGACUUAAAAUUGGAACGGACAAAUACAUCUUUAAAGGGAUUUGGAGGGGGACGGCUAACUCCCAUGGGAAUCAUCGAACUCCCAAUUACUAUGGGGACAAAGCCGUUUGAAAGAACGAUGAUGCUAGAUUUUGUCGUGGUAGAGGAGAGAAGCCUUUACCAGAUGAUACUGGGGAGACCGUUCAUAAGGAUAAGCCAAUGCGUUGUAUCUACGCAUUAUCUAGCACUGAAAUACAGAGUAAACGGAGUGGUUGGCGUAGUAAAAGGCGACCAGAGGAUGGCAAGGAGUUGUUAUGCUACAGCGGCCAAGGAGACAGUGCAGGUUACUUCUUUAGAUAAUCGAGGAGAAUCUAAAAAGGGCCGCCAAGAGCCUGUUGAGAAACUGGAAGAAGUUGCGGUAAGCAAAAGCAACCCGAGCAGAGUGGUGAAGAUCGGAUCAGGGUUGGUUGGGGCAGUAAAAGGUGAGCUGGUAAAUUGCCUACAGUCUCAUGCAGAUAUAUUCGCCUGGUCUCACGAGGAUAUGCCAGGAAUUGAUCGCGGGGUAGCUUGCCACAAGUUGGCAAUCAAUAAGGGGGCGAGGCCGGUGAGACAGAAGAGGAGAUGUUUUAACCAGGAAAGGUAUGAGGUCAUAAACGCCGAGGUGGAGAAGCUGUUGAAAGCAGAGUUUAUAAGGGAGGCCAAGUACCCGGAGUGGAUUUCCAAUGUAGUGCUGGUAAAGAAGGCCAACGGGAAAUGGAGAAUGUGUGUGGAUUUCACAGAUCUUAAUAAGGCAUGCCCGAAGGACAGUUUUCCCCUACCAAAGAUAGACCAGUUGGUGGACUCAAUAGCGGGUCACAAUCUGCUCAGCUUCAUGGAUGCCUUUUCAGGAUACAACCAGAUUCCCAUGGACGAGCAGGAUGAGGAAAACACCACCUUUAUAACUAACAUGGGUUUGUUUUGCUACAGGGUGAUGCCUUUUGGCCUGAAAAAUGCAGGAGCUACCUAUCAAAGGUUGGUGAACAAGAUCUUCAAGCCCUUGAUCGGUCAUACUAUGGAAGUAUAUGUGGACGAUAUGAUCACAAAGUCCAGAGAACCGAGGGAUCAUGUGAGACACUUGGAAGAAACCUUUGAAUUGCUGAGGAAGUAUGAAAUGAAGCUAAACCCGGAGAAAUGUGCAUUUGGGGUCAGCUCGGGUAAAUUUUUGGGAUUCCUAGUAAGCCACCGAGAGACCGAGGCCAACCCGGAGAAAAUACGGGUAGUAACAGAAAUGAGAUCCCCCCGAACAGUUAAGGAGGUGCAGAGCCUUACAGGGAAAAUGGCAGCAGUGAACCGAUUCAUCUCGCGGGCCACGGAUAAAUGCCACCCUUUCUUCUGAACCAUAAAAAAGGGAGGAAGAUGGAGUGGACAUCAGAAUGUGAGGAGGCGUUUGGGCAGCUGAAGGAGUAUCUGGCCCAUGCCCCGUUACUAUCAACCCCGAGGGAAGGUGACCAGCUGUUUUUGUACUUGGCAAUAUCAAAAUGGGCUACCAGCUCGGUGUUAGUCCGAGAAGAAGAAGGGAAGCAACACCCCGUGUAUUACACUAGUAAAGCCCUGGUAGAUGUAGAAACUAGGUAUCCCUUGAUGGAGAAAUGGGCACUGGCCUUAAUAACAGCAGCACAGAAACUGCGACCAUAUUUUCAGGCCCACCCGAUAAUUGUGAUGACUGACCAGCCUCUUCGGCAAAUGCUCCAAAAACCAGAUGCAUCAGGGCGGUUAGUAAAGUGGUCCGUGGAACUGAGCGAAUUCGAUCUAUCCUACAAGCCCCGAGGAGCAAUCAAGGCCCAAGCCUUGGCUGAUUUUAUGGUUGAUUGUGUGGAACCAGGGGAAGAGGUCCAAGAGGAACAGCUAGCAGAGCAGAAGGAUAGAAAGGGGGUAUGGCUGGUAAUGGUUGAUGGGUCACGGGGUGAACAUAGAUCCGGGGCAGGAGUUAUAAUACGAAGCCCAGGAGGUGUCGAGGUAUCCUAUGCUGUAAAGUUCGAGUUCCAGCUUACGAACAACCAAGCUGAAUAUGAGGCCUUCAUUAUUGGGCUCGGGCUUGCACAUGCACUACGGGCAGAAACAGUAGAAAUCCGAGCAGAUUCCCAGCUAGUAUGUAACCAGCUCAGCAAUCAAUUCCAAGUAAGGGAAGAGAAAUUGGGACUUUAUCUGAAGAAGGCGAAGCAAAUGGUUGAACUCUUUAAAGAGGUAGAGGUGAAGCAGAUAUCCCGGAACGAAAAUUACCGAGCUGAUAUGUUGGCUAGAAUGGCUGCAACGGCAGAUCUGAAAUUACCUAAGUCGGUCUCACUAGAGGUAAGGACAUUGCCAAGUAUAGGGGAGGAAGUAGAAGUGAUGAGAGUAAACACUGAAGAAUCCUGGAUGGACCUGAUUCGCGCAUAUGUCCACGAUGGAGUUUUACUAGAGGACAAAAGGCAAGCAAGGAAAUUAAAAUGCCGAGCAGCGAGAUACACGCUACUAGAUGGAGUGCUGUACCGCCGGGGGUUCACCUUGCCCCUUUUGAGAUGUUUGGAUGAGGAGGAGGCAGAUUAUGUACUGAGGGAGAUUCAUGAAGGAAUAUGUGGCAAUCACUCGGGAGCAAGAACUUUAGCCUUCAAGGUACUCCGGCAAGGAUACUUCUGGCCGACCAUGCACCAGGAUGCAAAAAGGAUGGCAAAGAACUGUAAAACCUGCCAAAGCUUCUCUGAGAUUCCUGCACAACCCCCAGAAAAGUUGACCACUAUGGCAUUCCCGUGGCCUUUCGCUCAAUGGGGAAUCGACUUGAUUGGUCCGUUACCUAAGGGCUGAGGAGCGGCGACACAUGCAAUUGUGGCAGUAGACUACUUCACCAAGUGGGUAGAGGUGGGAGUCCUCAGCCAAAUCACGGAGAGAAAGACAACGGAUUUUAUUUGGAAGAAUAUCAUCUGCAGAUACGGGAUCCCCUAUGCCAUCAUUACAGACAAUGAGAGGCAAUUUGACAACAGCAACUUCAGGAAAUUUUGCCGAAAUUUGGGGGUGGACCUGAAGUUCUGCACCCCCACACACCCCCAGGCAAACAGACAAGUGGAAGCAGCCAACAAAGUGAUAAAGAAGCUUCUGAAAACUAGAUUGGGAGAGAAGAAGGGAGCUUGGGUUGACGAACUACCAGGAGUAUUAUGGGCCUACCGAAUAACUCAUAAAACCGCCACAGGGGAAACCCCGUUCGCUUUAGCUUUUGGACAUGAGGCGGUAGUCCCGGCAGAAAUUGGAGUGGGGACACAUCGAAUGGAAUAUUUCACUGGGGAACAAAACGACGAGCAGAUCUGCUUAAACUUGGACCUACUGGAGGAGAAAAGGGAAGGGGCUUCGCGGAAAGUGGCCCAGUGUCAGCAAAGGGUCACGCGUUAUUACAACAAGAACGUACGCGUGAGGCAGUUCCGAACAGGAGAUCGGGUGCUCAGGAAGGUGAACCAAAACACCAGGGAUCCCAAUCAUGGAGCUCUCGGUCCGAAAUGGGAAGGCCCGUACAGGGUGAUACGAGCAACUGGACCAGGAGCUUACAAGCUAGCGUACCCAGACGGACGAGAUGUGAAGAGGUCAUGGAACGCCGAGCACUUAAAGAAGUAUUUCCAGUAAGCAAAGUGCUCUGCUAAAUCCUCAUUUUGAUAAGUUAUCUUUGUUAACUGCAUGAUGGCUUAUUACGCAUGUAUAUAUUCUGUAUUUUUGUAAUACAUUCAAAUUCCAAUAAAGAUGAAUUCAGCAUGAAACCCUUCUGUUAGCAAGCCCAUUAAAACUUCUACCAAGGCAAGUAAGUGCCUGCUUCUGCUCGGUCAACGAAAGACUAGCAGCUAAAUUUACGAAACUUCUACCAAGGCAAGUAAGUGCCUGCUUCUGCUCGUUCAACGAAAGACCAGCAGCUAAAUUUACGAAACUUCUACCAAGGCAAGUAAGUGCCUAGUACUGCUCGGUCAACGAAAGACCAGCAGCUAAAUUUAUGAAACUUCUACCAAGACAAGUAAGUGUCUGCUUCUGCUCGGUCAACGAAAGACCAGCAGCUAAAUUUACGAAACUUCUACCAAGGCAAGUAAGUGCCUAGUUCUGCUCGGUCAACGAAAGACCAGCAGCUAAAUUUACGAAACUUCUACCAAGGCAAGUAAGUGCCUGCUUCUACUCGGUCAACGAAAGACCAGCAGCUAAAUUUACAAAACCUCUACCAAGGCAAGUAAGUGCCUGCUUCUGCUCGGUCAACGAAAGACCAGCAGCUAAAUCUACGAAAAUUCUACUAAGGCAAGUAAGUGCCUGCUUCUGCUCGGUCUACGAAAGACCAGCAGCUAAUCCUACGAGAAUUCUGCUAGGGCAAAUAAGUGCCUAGUUCUGCUCGGUCAACGAAGACUAGCAACCAAUUUUAUGAAAAUUUUACUAAGGCAAGUAAAUGCAUACUCCUGCUCGGUCCACUAAGGAACCAGCAGACAAAAUCAGAUAAGUUAUCCAAUUAUUUUGCAGAAACAAUCUAUGAGCAAAAACCAGACAAGAAAGCCAAUAGAGAACAUCUAAAAAUUUAUAAAUGUUCAAUUGUUUACAAAACAAAUGCAAAUCUAGAGUUUAUACAAAAAUAGACUUAAAGAUUAGCAGGGUCAUCGACUCCAGCAGCUGAAGGAUCAGCAAUCUCAGGAGGUAGGAGAUCGGCAAUACCGGAAGGAGGAGGCACGGACCCUUGACCCACUUCGAAAGCACGGCCCCCGGCUUCCCCCUCCUGCACCCCAUCCAAAGGAGCCUCCACCUGAUCCUGCUCGCCCUGCUCCUUAUCUGCCUGGCCGGUCUCCGCCAUAUACCGUUGCACUCCAGCCUCCAGCUUACUCAUGUCCAGCUCGGGAUAUUCUUCCUUAAGCACAGACAUGAUACACUUAUAGGAGAAAGCAACCCCAGAGUCAUACUCGGCAUCCAGCCGAUCGUCCACAUCAGCGGAUUUACCUUUCUCCUCAGCUAGCUGCUCAUUCAGGGAUUUGAUUUCUCCCUCAAGGGCGGUCCUCAGAGUAUCUCUUUCACUUUGAGUUACCUGAAGGUCAGACUUCAGGCUACCCAACUCACCCUCAAAUUUGGAGGCAGUGGACUCAGCAAUUGCAACUUUCUCCUCCAGCUCCGUAAUCUGCUUGUUCAGCUCGGCCAGCUUCUCCUUGGAGCGAUCAGCAGAUUCAGCCCUCUUCUUCAACUCCUGAUUGUCAGCUUGAAGCUUCCUCUCAUGGCUUGUGGACCCGUUCUUGUAACACGAAACCAUAGUGGCCAGCCUGAAGGAAACCCUUUGAACAGAAGCAGCUAACUCGGAGAGGUUCAUACUCUCGAUGUCCUUCACCAUCUUGGGCCCCACCGAUUUCUUGUAAUCCUUCUGAUACGGGCUCAGGUAGUCACCUUGAUCCCGAGAUGGAAGAUGAGAAGAUCGGUCCCCAGACUGCAAGCUGACCUCAGGACUCUUGUCGGAAAUUUUCUCCCCACCACUCUUACGAGGUGGAGGAGGGGGCAGAGCAGGAACAGGAGCCUUGGAAGGACCGACGCUGAUUUUCUUCGGAGGAGGAGGAGGGUUGCUGGAGCUACUCGGAGCCCGACCAUGCUUUCUGCUCAUCGCGCUGAGGAUCUUGUUAUCCAUCCCAGAGGCAAUAUCUACUAAGCCCGAACCGACCAAGUUUGUUGGUGACAGGAGGUCUUGGCAAGUAGACGCGUUCACCAGAGCUGUUUCCACCUGAAGCAAAGGUCGGUCUUUGAGAUCCUUAACCAAACCCCACGAUUCUGAAAAAACAAACAAGGUUAAAGAACCCAAUAAGUGGCAAUUCGAGAAAGAAUAUAGGCAAAAAAUGAACGACCUGGGGUGACAAAUUGCGUUGGAAGGUAAAUAUCACCACCCAACGAACAGACUACUGAACACCAAUUUGCCUCAGCAAAGAAGAAUUUGUUCUUCCAAUUUUUGCACGAGGAGGGGAAACCGGUGAUUGGCUUUCUCUUCGCAGAACUGGAUAUGAAGUAGUACCAGCCCGCCUCCCUUGGGCUGCUCCGCAGCUGAUACAAAUGCUUCACUUCAACAAGGGAAGGCUCCUCCGACCCGCACCUCUCCCACAACACAAACAUAACCGAGAGAACCCUCCACCCGUUUGGGUGUAGCUGACCUGGGGCCAAGUGCAUACCCCCCAAAAUCUUGGCAAAAUAACGCUGAAGAGGUAGUCGAGCUCCUAGUUUGAAACUCUCCAGGUGCAUCGUCACGUACCCCCAUGGAGGCCGACUAGGAACAUCACCUUUCCCAGGAACCACAAGGAGAACCUCCUCAGGAAUGUCGUAGAGGUUCCUAAGCUUGAAUAGAUCAGUUUGGGUGGUGGCACAGGCUAUGUGAUCGAUAGGGUAAGAAUCCGCCUCCACCCUAUGCCCAAGGUUUCAUUUUUUAGGAGGUCGGCUCGGCUCGGAGCUGCUUCCCUCACCAUCACCCACUUCUUCAGGGACCUCAACCCCACCAGAACUGUGGUUCUCACCAGAGCCCGACGCAGGUCCCUCUCUAUUUCUUACAAGCUCUAAUUCAGGGGAAGGUGAAAUGGUCAAGGGACGUGGGUACUCAAGGGUAUCCCUACUAUAGGAGAAGCCUACACUACAAGAGGGAUGCAAAAAACCAGUGGGUAUUGACAAGUUAAGGCGUGAAUCCCCUGAUUCUUCGUCACCCUCAUCUGCAAUCAACUUCCUUCUCCGAUUUGACAUAUCAGAGCCCCAAAAGGAAACCAAAACAAACCCAAGUACACGAAUACAAAAAGGGACAACACAGAACCCAAUCAACAACAGCCAAAGAAGAGGUUAAAGGCUAUACCUGGAAUAGACUGACACUGAUAGCGCUGCCGUGACAGAGAAAACACCCAGCAAAUGGAUACUCCGGACGCUGGAAGUGUGAGCAAAGUUCAGAGAAGGAUUUGGUUAACGGCGGAGAAACGAAUAACAAAAUGAGGAUGACUUUAGUCUAGGGAUUUGAAACGAAAAGGGGGAAACGGAAGCGUUUAAGUGAUGGGAUAUGCCAGCUCACUCACCAUAUAUCGAGGAUGGAUAGCCCGUCAUUUCAAAUUUCAAAUACGAAGAGUCGGGAAGCGCCACGUCACUAACCGUUACAAGAGGCUAGGCUAGAUGCAAGCCCAGAUAUGCAAUGUACAUGCUCAUUAAGGCCCAUGCUCGGGUCGGAAUCUCCCCAGAAGAAAAGUGGUACCUCAGGUCCUUCCCGGUACAACAGAAGACCAGAUGAGAAGCCCCGGGCUGGUCAGAUUCGACCAUCAGUUUCUACUCUUAACUCAUUUCACUCGCAAGACCAGAAACUGGGGGACUGGUGUUAAGUAAGUAAAAGCACCAGGUCGGUCGUGCUACUAUUUCCGCCCCGGCAUGGAUCACCUCAACCAAAUGGUACGAGCAGAACACGGGGACAAAUAUGGUCCGACCAGAGACGAGUACCGACCAGAGGUGUAUGCCGAGCCGAUACCCGUCUCCCGAAAAAGCGGGAACACGAUCUCACAGAAUCACGGCAGUUGCGCUUUUCCUAGAACCGUUGCGAGAGAUGCGAGAUCCCACGUUUACCCGUAAUGUAGCAGUUAGAGUCCCGUGAGAGGCCACCACCCGAAAAAGGAGGGAUGAAAGCUAAGCGGGAACGUGGGACAACGACUAUAAAAGAAGGAGAAAUCGAUGAAGAAGGGGACAGAAAAAUUGAAAGAGGGAAAACGCUGCCAAAUUAUAACCUGGCUAUUUUCUUACAAACUUCGGAUAAAUUAGAAACUAUUCUUGAAUCCAAAUUGCACUGUUUUCCCGUAAACACCUUGAGCUAACUUAGGCAUCGGAGGGUUUGCGCCGGCAAAACCACCGGCGUCUUUGAUCCGUUUUUGUGAACGCAGGUCUAGAAAGAGAAAGGAGGGCGAUUCCAACCCUAGUGGUACGAGCAACAGUUGAUAACACAAACGUUGGUGAAAGAUUCUGGUCGGUAAAAAGGCGAGUAUAUUUUAGCAUCAACAUUAAGGUAAUAUAGGACGAAAAAGUAUGGACAAGGAAGCAGUAAUAUUUGGUGUUUUUCAUUUUUUUCAAUAAAAAAAUGAAAACAAAAUUUUCAAUAUCUAUUCAUCAUUUUUUGGGAAAAAACAAAAAAAAGCUUAAAGAAUAAAUGAAAGGGUGUUUGUUAAAACAAAAAUGUGAUUGGUGUUUGAAUAAUGACUCUCUCGGUCAGGCAAAAUAAUCACAUAAUCAUUUUUUUGAAACACAAACCCUUUUGGUUAAGAAAUAAUCACACAAAUCCUAAUGUUUUAUCUGAAAGAGAAUUUGUGUAUCUCAAAAGAGACAUGUGUGACCUUUUCUAAAAACAAAAUAUCUUUCUAGUUAUUUUGCCAAAUCACGUGGUGCCUUUAGAAAUAAGAUAGAUUUUAAUUUGCCCCCAAUUCAGAAAGAAAAUCUUUAAUUUAUCACCUAAAAAUAUAAAAAUAUCAAUUUACCCCAUUUAUUGUUAAGAAGAUUAAAAAAAAAAAAACCAUCAACACAUUCCUUAUUUGCCCCUAAUAUUUUGGACGGAAAUGAAGAAUAAAUUGAGGUUUACAUUGAGAGCAAAUUAGAGAUUAUCAUUUUAUUUGGGGAUGAAUUAAAAUUUAUUCGUAGGAAUAAAAAAUUCAAGAGAAAUACAUCGAAAAAGGUAAUAGUUUUCACUUUUUAUGGAGUAUUUGAGUAAGGGUAUUUGCACCCCACUAUUUUUAUAAAUCCACCCUACUUCUAGAAACUAAUUGCAAUGAAUUUACAAUAUUUUUAAAAAAAUACAAAUUAAUAAAAAUUUGUAUAAUUAAUCAUUAAAAUCCUUCUAUUGAUUUUCUUCUUGGGUUCUUUGACCAUCUUUAAUCAUAAACUUUAAUACAAGUUUUAUUUUAGUAUUUUAUUAUUAUGAUAUAUAGCAACUAAAUUACCAUAAUAAACACGAGUUAUUGUAUCUACUAAUUUAUGUAUCUAAUUUUGUGGCUUAUAAUAUAAUAUUUUAAAAUAAAAUCUAAUUGUGAUUUUCUCUACUUUAGUGUGUAAAUAACAUAAAAUUGACAUCCCAAUAAUUUACAUGAGUAUCAUGCCCUAAAGAUACUAUUUUAGUUUAAUUAAAGAUUAAAACUCAUACUAGUAAAGUAGUAUUAGAAACAAUGAGUUUGGAAUAAAAUUAGAAAAAUAUUGAAAUUAAAGUAAAUUCUUAAUAGUUUUACCUUAUAAGAGUAAAAUAAUCAAUUUAAACUUAUGACAAAACAAUCUUUGUAGCUAAUUAUAAUAAAAUAAUCUAAAUCACAAGAAAGUAAACUAAAAUAAAUCUAGUUAAUUAACUCUACAAAGUUAUUCUUUGUUUGAAAAUUUUAAAACAUAGCAUGUAUGUUUUAUAAUUAUUUUUUAGACGAAGUAUUAUCAUUUUGAUUUUUGAGGAAUAUCAGUAAAAUUUUCAUAAAAUAGUGGAAUAAGCCCAAUAAAUAAAUAAGUACAUAAAAAGUUUUUGUCAUAGCCACAGUCUCAUAGAGGUGGAAGCAGGGGAGGAGCAGGCCAAGCCAGGCCACAGAAAAUAUUCAAUUGAAAAAGCAAGAAAAGAAUGAGCGUGUGGAUGGUAAGGGCUCGGGCUCCCUCUUUCAUUAUUCCAAUAACAACGCUCAGGAUUGGAAAUGGAAAUGGAGAUGUAAAAGGCCUGCGCUUGCCCCUAUUGAGCAAUAAGAGUUGGCAGUUUCAGUUGCAGUUGGAGUUGCAGCAGAGGAAUAAGGAGAAGAAGAAGAGACAAAAUGUUACCAUCAGUUAUACUAACAGUAGCAGUGGAGGGGAUUCUGCUUCUGCUGCACUGGAACUGGAGGUUAAUGAGAUAAGGGAGAGUUGCAAAAUGUGGAAAUGGAAGGGUCAGUACUCCAUCAAUUACUUGGUUUCUUCAACUCCAAAUUCACAUCCCAAUUCUCCUCCUCUACUCCUUGUCCAUGGCUUUGGUGCCUCCAUUCCUCACUGGCGCAGGUUAGCGAGAUAAGAUUGCUCUUUCUUGUUGUGAAUUGUCUAGAGGGUUGAUUAUUGGGUGCACAAAAAUGUAGCUCCUUUAUUGUGAAUUCAAUUCAAAUUAUGUUCUGGGUAUUUUCGACUGUAAUUUUUUUUUUUUUGUAUGGAGCAUGUCUUUACCUUAUGUAUGUAAUAUCUCUGACUCUGUUAUGUAUUAUGAACUCCAGGGAUGGAUUUAUAUGUGUUAUACUUCUAAUAAUUAAUUAAGAUGAAUGAAGCAAAAGAACAAUGAAAGUAAAAUCUAUUCAUUAUUUCACGGUGCAUUGGCAUUAACACUUAGUUCUAUUCCUUGCACCUAGAUGAUGACAAACCAGUGAUCUGAAUUUCAGGGUUCCAUUUCAUAUUACCCUUUUAUGGGUAUAGGCUUCUUCCAUUUUCCAAUUCUUAAUCUAGUGAAAAAGUAUUCAUUUUACCGCUCCGUAGAAGAGGGGAAUGAAAAUUUGUGUGUUCACUACUCCUUUAUCCUAUUAAAUAAUGUGAGGAAUUGAUAUUUUUCUUGUCAUCUCUGAGGUAAUUCCAGGAAUAUCGGCACCCUGGAGAAGAGCUACACGGUUUAUGCAAUUGACCUUCUUGGAUUUGGUGCUUCAUAUAAGCCAGCUGGUUAUUCAUAUACCAUGGAGGCAUGGGCUCAGGUGUGCAAUGUUCCCUAGCCAGAAGUUGGAUCUUUCUCUGUACUUAUGUCAUCAAUCACUUGACCUUUAGUUAUUUUCCUUGCUAACUUGAGUGAGAUUCACUGAUACAGCUAAUAUUGGAUUUCUUGGAUGAAAUUGUUCAGAAGCCAACUGUGCUUAUAGGUAAUUCUGUUGGAAGCCUAGCUUGUGUUAUCGCUGCCUCAGGUAUAUUUAUUUUAACUUCCCCUUGGACAUCAGAUAUUCUUCAACUUGCUUGCAAAGAAACACUUGUCCCUAAUUAUCCUUUUUGGUAUCUAUGGUUUACGAUAAACCUGCUAUAUUUUCUACCAUAAGAAUCUAGUCAAACCCUUGUUCGAGGGCUUGUUCUGUUGAAUUGUGCUGGUGGCAUGAACAAGGCAAUUGUUGAUGAUUGGAGAAUCAAGCUAUUGUUACCAUUGCUUUGGUUCAUUGAUUUUUUGUUGAAGCAAAGGCCAAUUGCUUCUGCUAUAUUUGAGCGUGUGAAACAAAGGUAUUUUCUCUUUUCUUUAUUCAGUCCAUUGUUCAUUAUCCUAAAACACUAGAGUCAAAAUUAAAAAAAUCUAUGAUGUGUAUAUAUUGGUGCUUCAGGGAAACACUGAGGAAUAUUUUACUGUCGAUCUAUGCAAAUAAGGAAUCUGUGGAUGAAACACUGGUUGAGGUAUUAAUAUUCUCCACUUAUAUGUCAUUUUAACCUGUUACAAAAAUGGCUACUCAGAAUUCAUGAAUCAACCUCAAAACUGCAGAUCAUACGAGAGCCUGCCAAUGUGGAAGGGGCACUUGAUGCAUUUGUUUCGAUUGUAACCGGCCCACCAGGGCCGAACCCAGUUCAAUUGAUGCCAUCAAUCUCUAUACCUCUACUAGUUUUAUGGGGUGAUGAGGAUCCAUUCACACCCCUCGAUGGACCUGUUGGUAAAUACUUCUCAUCUCUGCCUUCUAAACUCUCAAACGUGAAGUUAAUUGUAUUGAAAGGAGUAGGACAUUGCCCCCAUGACGACAGGCCUGAAUUGGUCCACGAAAAGCUGCUUCCUUGGUUGGCUGAAACAUUUAAUUUCUGAGGAAUUUACUUUCUCAUCAGCAAGUUUUAACGAGCAUUAUAUAUUAUUCCUAUUGUAAAAAGACAAAACAACUCUUGUAUUUAUGUUGUAUAUAUCAAUUCUUAUUCAACCGCUUGGUUAUCUUUUGGCGCCGAAAGGAAUGUUGGAGAAACUGAUCUCUGACAUGUUGUAGAAGCUCCAAAUUGAUUCAAGAAAUAUAUCAAAUUAUUCAAUAAAAAAUCAAAUUCAGCACAAUAAUAAAGAAUAAUGAUUUAGUAAUCCAUAUUGCUCAUGUCAAUGAUAUGUGAAUGAUAGGAUCCAAUUUUAUACAUGAAAAAGAUACAAUAAUCUAAAUCGAAAUAUAAGUUCACAGGCAUCUUCAAUCCUUUCCUUACAAGUCAUUUUUGUAAAUAUAAAUUCUAACCAUAGACGAUACCACAUCAACUAUGGAACCAAGUGCAUCAUUCCAAAUAUGGAAUUGGUAGAGAUACUUGAAAAAGUGCAUACAUGUUUAAGCAAAUGGAUUCACAACUCAGGUGAGUUGAGUGAAAAUGACACCUAUCUCAGUCUUCUUCGUUACAGUUGAAACAUGUGCUUGGGUCUUCCAUUGACGUAGGAUCUGGUGUGAAGUAAAUGGAUCCCACAUUUUUUCACCCCGCAGCACUGGCACUCCAAAGGUGGAAAAACAUUAAAGUGGACUGCCUCAAGAAUGCAAUUGCAUUUCCAAAAACCAUUAAAAUCCUCUUCACAGAACAGAUAGUGCCCCAAAUGUAAGUGAUAUGAUUCUACAUAAUUAACUCUGCUCUGAGAUAAUCGUGUGUCAUGCGUACCACAAUCUUUGGUGGUUUUCACUUUGAGCUCAAAAGAAAAUGAAAACCAUCUGCCACAAUCUACAUGACGGUCUGAAAAUGCUAAAAUAGCACUAAAUGCAAUGCCCUGCACUCUGCUAUUAUUGAAGAAAUCUGGCGGCAUCUCCAAGGUUAUAAAAGAUCCCACACUUUGAAACUCAAACCACUUUGGAAUUUCAUUCCCAGGUAGUACUAUAUGACCUUUGCCCAAGGAAAAACCUCUCUGUACCAAAAAAACAUAAUUUUAAACCCAAAAAAAAACAAAGAUUGUAGAAAUUGCAUGUAAGUAGAGAGAGUUAAAGACACACAUUUUGCCAUACUUCUUGCCAUAUUUCUUGCAAACGUAGAACUGGCGUAUGAUUCGUAUGCUGAAUUCUCAGGGUAUCUUCAACAAUUCCUGCAGUAGAAUUACCUUCCAAUUUAAAAUUAUUGCUCCGGUCAAAAAAAAUUGCCUGUAAGAUUCAUAACUUAGAGAACAAACCUAAAAAUGGUUGCAGUGCCAAGCAACCUCGUUCAAGGAAUGGAGACUUUUGUACGAAUUGGAACCUCUCACCAUAACUUAAGAGGAGGUAUCCCGACACGAAAAGUUGGAUAAUGCUUUCUGGUAUUCUCUCAAUAUUGGUUUUCGCUAGAUUAAAUGUUAUUGGCGAGGAUAAUUGGCCAAGACAUUCGGGCAAUCUCUGAAGAUUUGAGCAACCACAGAGAUUAAGAACUCCAAGAGAUUUCAAUCUAUAGAGGCUGCUUGGGAGAUUCUUAAGCCUUUUACAAUUUGAAAGGUCUAAGUAUCCGAGCCUAAGUAGACGCUCAAUUGAUGAGGGCAGUUCUUCAAUUGCAGUCCCCCUUAAAAAUAACCAGCUUAUAUUACCUGAUGAGAUCUCUGGAAGCCUUUUCAGUUUUGGGCAGCCCGAAAGAUCAAGUUUGGUAAGAAAUUCCAAGUUAAAUAUUCCAGAUGGAAGACUUUUCAGGCUUUUGCUACCUCUUAGAUUCAAGAUAACCAGCUUGUUCAGACGUGGCAUCAACGUGGGAUUUGGAAUUUUGGCAAUUAGCUUAUGGCAGGCAGCAUGGAUUAUCUGGUUUAACUUACUAUAAUGCUGCUCGGUCAAAAAAGAGGCCAAGACAAAAUCGUUACCACGUAUAAUAAUUUAAUGUUGUUAUUGAGAGAUUGCACAUAUAUAAUAAGAUAUGCAUACCUUCACACAAUCCCAAAGUUGUUCAAUGUCAUUAUCAGGCACUUCAAGGAACAUAAGCUUCUCUGCACUGAGGUUUGAGGGAAAUGACUUCAACGGAUAUCCAUGCCAGUGAAGAUAUUUCACUUCAGCAAAUCCAGGGUCUUGCAAAUAAGACAUCUUACAUUUGUUCUCUCCAUUGAAUAAUGAACUAUAGAACUUUAAAAAUCUCAAUUUAGGCAUCUUUGUGAAAGUAUUGGGAUUUAGACGGAGCUCUUUUACUUUUGACAUAUCCAAACAUAUGCCCUCAAUUUUUUCUGUCCCCUAAAAAUAAAUGAAAAAGCAAUAAAGUUACAAUCAAAUGAAAGAUAUGUGUAUUCCACCAAUGAAUCGCCCUUCAACAAUACAUAGGGAUAAUUUUUGGGGCAAUUUUCUCACUAAUUCACAAUUAGAGGUAGCUUGUAGUUAUUGCUAGGCAGUUAAACUUUUAAUUGCAAAUGCACAAAGAAACAUAACAACACAAGUAAUACUUAAUAUAAAAAUUCCGUCUGUGUACUAUACAAAUUGGCAUAUCAAUUAUGCUUGCAAACGAUUAUGCAAGUUGUCAUGGCAUUUAUAAUUUAUUGCUACGUCAUCUAACGGAUAUGGUUUUUUCUAAUCAUUGUCGCUCUUCUAUUAAUUCUAAGACUCAUCAGUUCGAGCAUAGAUAAAUAUAUUCAUAUCAAGUUUGUAAAUGCUAGAAUAUUUCAAAAUAAUUAUCCACAACAAACUGCUUACCGUGUUAUAUGUAAGAACUUCAUAGAUAUCCUCAUGAUGCCACAACCUACUGCGGUUUCCAGGAUUAAUUGAUUCUUGUCGAACAAUUUCCCUACCCAACUCUUGUAGUAAAUCAUGCAUUCUUAUCUUGUUGUAUGAAUCAAUAGCAAUGAGAGAUUUAUCAACAAGAACACUUAUUCCUAUUUCUGGGUAGAAACCGCUUGCAUUAUGGAAUUUCAUUACUAGAUUUACAUCCUCGCCUUGAAAGAAACAAGCAACAUCAAGGAAAAUAUUUUUCUCCUUAUCAUCCAAACUAUUGUAACUUAUUUUUAAUACCUCUAGGAUACUUGGAUGGAGGAUUCUUUGCAAUUUAUUUAUUGCACUUUCCCAGACUUCCUUUUCUCUUUCAUAUAGAAAGCAACCCAAAACUUUAAGAGCUAAGGGAACACCUUGAGCAUAUUUCAUUACCUUGCUUGAAAAUUUCUCGUAACCAACUUCAGGAUGGUUUUGUUUGAAGGCAUGUCGACUGAAAAGCUCAAGAGCGUGAUGAUAUUCUAAUGCCUCCAUCACAUAUAUUUUACUCACCCCCCAAUUUCUAAGCACUUGUUUAUUUCUGGUGGUUAUUAUGAUUCGACUCACAGGCGUCAACCAAUCAAGACUUCCAAUUAUAGAUUCUAAUUGGCUGAAGCAAGUCACAUCAUCAAAAACAAUCAGAACCUUCAUGCGGCUGAGCCUUCUAAAAUUAAGACCAAUAUCAAGACUCACAUUUUUAUCUUUCAAUAAAUUUGAAAGAAGUUUUUGUCGCAAGCAAGCUAAUCCUCCCGGUUUUUGUGACUCUUCUCUAACAUUUUCAAGGAAGCAAGAACCUUCAAAAUCGCUAGAGAUUUUGUCGAAAGUAGCUCUAGCGAUUGUUGUUUUGCCUAUACCACCAAUGCCCCAAAUCCCUAAAGCGUAAACAUCUUUCGACUGAACACCUAGUAGAGAUUCAAUUUCCUCAACUCUUGAUUCUACUCCAACCAGCUGGUUUUGUUAUCAUUCCGCCGAAAAACUUGAUCCAGCAGUCUCUUUAAAAUGUGAUUAACAACUUCGUUUAUAAGUUCCGAUUCAGGCCUACCAAAUACAUAAAAUUAGCAGCAGUAACUUCAAAUAGAAGGGACCGGAUUUGCAUAAAAUAUGAAAUAAAGGAGAUUGCUAGUUUUCCAAUUGAAAUUAAUAUACCACUUUUUUUUUCAUAAGGAUAAUAUUGCAAAGUGAUGGUACAGGAGAGUUAUUAAAUAUUAUAAAAAUAGUCAAAAUAAGUGGUAUAUAUUGAUUUGAGUAAGGAAAUUUCCAAUCUCCCUAUAAAUUAAUAACUCUUUAAUUACAGGAAUAUGUUAUAUGUGGAAGAGAUUUUUUUUUUCCUAGUGGUAUAUGAGUAAGAGAUUGAAAUUGAUUAAAAAACGACAGAACACCAUUAAUUUUGUUAAAAUAUAUUGUAAACCUCUGGAGCUUUUAUUAGUAAUUCUGCAAAAAAUCUUUUAUAGGAGUUCAAAAGUGGGGAAGUUCAAGAAGUCUAGAAUUUGAUGCAUGAAAAAAUUUAAAAGUGUAGUUUAUCAUCUGGAAAUUUAACUAAGAGUGCUACGUGAAUUUUAUUUACAGUGUUGAAUAUGAGUAUGCGAAAUUAAAGUAACUUUUCACCUGAUGUUAAGAGAAUUAAAGCCAGACAAAGUGACUGCCUCCCUCAAAGCAUUCCUCCAAGUCAGCAGCUUCUUUGAAUUCUCCUUAAAUCUUUCUUCAAGCUUCGAAAAUGAAUCCCCAAAACUCCCAGUUUGGUUUCUCACGUCUGAUGGAUCAACCCGAUAGAAAACCGGAAUCACAAUCUGUGCAUACUCUUUCUUGCACUCGAGGAUCUUGACAAGUUCAUCGAGACACCAUCUGGAAGAUGCAUACCCUUCUGAGAAGACGAUAACUGAAACGGCUGAUGCUUCAAUUGCAUUCACAAGUGACUCCGAAAUUUCGUCUCCUCUGUUAAGUUGGUCAUCAAUGAAAGUUUGGAUAUUUUGUCGACACAGAGCAGAAUAGAGAUGGCUAGUAAAGUUGUCUCGGGUGUCCUCUCCUCUGAAACUAAGAAAAAGAUCAUCCUUCUUGUUGUUUCCAUAAGAAGAAGCCAUAAUCAACAGAAACAGUUGAAUUGAUUAGGGAGAGAUUUUGAUUCAGAUGAAAACAAUUAUUGAACCAAAUGUGCGCGACUCUGUACAAUAAAUCGAUGCCAUGAGCCUUCCUUCAAGUUCCGUGAUAGUUUUCAAUUUCAUCUCAUUGUCCAAGCACCGUGCACUCCACGAUGAUUGAUUAAUUCCACUGCUUUGUAGACUUUUAGCUGAAAAUUCCACACGAACACCAUACUUUUCAACACACGUGCUUCUGUGCUUUAAUACUCAUAACUGCCAGCAAUAAGUAGGGUAAUAUUUUAAUUUUUAUCUCUGAAUUUAUCUUUUCGGUCCUCAUCUCUCAAUUAAUUGUAUUUAGUUUCAAAAUUGUUCUUUUUUUUUUUUGUUUUAGUAGCUCUUAUUCAUGUUCCUUAGGGUUGAUUGUUAAGCAUAUAAAGUCUAACUUUUAAAAAAAAAUUAGUUAUUUAUUUUUUAUAACUUAUAUAUGAUUUUUAAAUAUUUAUAUUUAAAUUAAAAAAGUAAUUUUUUUUUGUGACCUUUGCCUAAAUGAAAAAUGUAUGAAUGGAAAAUAAAUAGUAUAUUCAAAGAUUAUUUCUAUUCAAUAUUGUUAUUUCCUAAACUAUAAACGGGUCACAUGUGGCUAAUUGUCAAAGCAAUAGCAAGCUGUUAGCUUAAAGCAAAGCACAUUCAUGCUUCACCCAUGAGAAUACAACCAAUUCUAAUGCAUGUAUUGUGACACACGUGCAAGCUAAAAGGAGGCACAUGUGGUUAAUUGUCAAAGCAAUAGCAAGCUGUUAGCUUAAAGCAAAGCAUGUGCGAAGCAUGUGCGUGCUUCAUCAAUAGAAUAUGUGAGUGGAUUAUUAUUAUUACUAUUAUGUAUUUUACAAAAUAUUUAUGUUUGAUAGUAUGAUUUAGUAUAAUGUUAUGAUUAAAUGUACGUACAUUAUAUGAUUGACUGAGUCAUAAGAUGUAAUUGACAGGCACCAUAUGUGUACAUUUCUCCAUAGGCUCUACGCAUGCGUAUUGAGAGUUAAAUUACUCGACCCUUGUGAUGUUGUUAAUUCUACUGAGUAUUGAGAGGUUUUUCCCCCUUUUUACUCGUGCGAUGAUGAUCCCAGUAAGUAUUGAGAGUUAUUUUCCAUGUAUAUUAUUUGGUGCAAUUUUGUCAUGUGUGUAUAUACGAGUUCAUGUUUGCUUUUGUAAAGCGUUCAGUGUAAAGUUAUGUCAUACAAUUAUGACGAGCACUAAAGCACUAAUUUAUUUUUAUAUAUAAUUAUAUUCAUUCAUUGAGCCGCAAGCUUAAUAUUUUCCUAUUUACCCCAUUUCUCUAAGGUUUCCAUAGGAUUUCGUGUAGUUCAAUUUCUAAUCAAUUGAGGUUGGGCCACGACACACAUUACUGCACGACUUACAUUUUGACCACGUUUAUGUUUAUAUGUAUAUUUUUGAAGUGUAUGUAUGUACAGUGAGAUAUGAACUAUGUAAGUUUUUAAUAAAAUUUUGAAUGAGGCACAUAGAUUAUUAUCUGUUUAUAACAAAGGGCAAGGCUAGUGUUAUAUAUUCCUGAAUUAAGUUUAUGUCAUGAGCUUUAGAUAUAAAAUUGCAUGAUUCACCCCAAAUCCAACAGAAGGGUUGAGGCAGUUUGUGUCAUGUAUGAUAUGUACAUAUUUAUAUUCAAUAUAACCACCAUUUGAAUGAUAGUUUUUUAAAAUCAAUGCACAUGUUUCGUAGCAUGAUUCACUUGUUGUAUGCCUACACAUGGUACUUUUGAUGUAUUCUAAAAUUUCUUCUUUAGUUAGAGGCAUUUGUUUUAAAAUUUUAUUUAAAAGAAGGUCAUUUUAAAUUUUAAAAUGUGAAGUGUAUUUUCUACAUCACUAAAGGAUGAAAUAGCCUUCAAUAUAGAUUUCUUAAUAAAUUUUAAGAGAACUAACAGAAAGUGGUUAUCUCAUUCAUGGUUAUUAAAUCAAAAUUUGAAUUAGAUCAUCACUGGUCCAAAAUAAACUAUCGUCAUUUCAAAUUGAAGCAUGAAACCGUGAAUGGAUGCAUCUUUAAAUAAAAGGAUACAUUUUUAUUACAUAUGUCACUGUUUAAUUAGACAUAUCUUUACAGUCGGACACAUUUUUAGAGCACCAUUUAUAUUGAAAAUAUUCCAGCAUAAAAUAUGUCCCUCUCCUUAUACAAGUAUUUUGCAAAUAAUACAGAGCCACCACGAGUUCAAAAAUAAUAAAACAAUAACAUUGCUCACUUGCUCGACUGGGCUGGAUUGGGCUGAUUGGGCUGGGCCUGCCAUAAGAAUGUGUAAGUACGAAGCUUUGCUUUCAUCAUCGCAUACACGGUGAGGGAAAUUGAAAUUGAUGAGGGCGCUGGCCGCUCAAUUCCUGCUUCGGAUUCCCCAACUCGGAAUAUAAUCUAUACCGUCGUACAAGCAUCGUCGGGACUUAGAAGAAUUACUUAGAAUUGACCGACGAUGAGCUGUUUCGCGAAUGCGAAAUGGACGCGUACAAAUCGUCGGGACCAGGCGGUCAGCACCGCAAUAAGCGCGAAUCCGCCGUACGUCUCAAGCACGUACCUACCGGCGUCAUAGCGCAUGCCGCCGAAGACCGAUCGCAGCACAAGAAUCGCGCGUCAGCUUUGUAGCGCCUCCGCACUCUUUUGGCCCUCAAAGUGUGGCCGUCAGUGCUUGAUGGCUUAUUUUUAAGUAGCUUUAAAGCAUAUUUGGCUCUUUGUUUAUGAAUAAUGUUCAAUAGCAACCUGCUCCAUUGAUAAGAGAAAUGUAUGAUAUAAUUUUUCAAGAUACCUACCUGCAUUAUGAAUUGUUAUUGGAAGGAAGUACGACAAUAAAUUAAGAGCAAAGACUGAUUUAAAGAUGUAUCUUCAUUAUUACAUGAAAUGUAUGUUCUGCUUCUCAUUCACUUUACCAGAAUUACAAAAGUUUUAUGUUAUUGAUGGUUGGAUUGUUUCUGGGUUAUCCUUGUUAUUAUUUUUUUUGUUUUAAUUGCUUUAGAUACAUUUGAAACAUGAAAAUUUUAAAAAACUUUCCGAUUUGUGCAGGGUAUGAAGCCUCUUAAGUAGGACUUCUUUGGUGCUACUAUUGUGUUCGGCAAAUAUUUUCUUCUUUUAUUUUUCUUUUUUCAGUCACCAUAAUGGGGGUCAUGGUGAAACAACUUACUAAUCACUCUGGACAGGAAUGGGCUUCUAUAAGUAAAGCACACUUAUUUCACUCUUUCCUUAGUACUCACCUAAAGGGGUUAUGGUUGCGACAUGCCUGGAUGGAAACAACCAAUUGUAUCCGUUAGCCAUUGAGGUUAUGGAUUCGGAAAACAAUGAUGCUUAGGAAUGGUUUAUGACGAAAUUACAUGGAGUAAUUGGUGAUACGCCGGAGUUGGUAUUUAUCUCAGACCGAUGCACCGCGAUCAAGAGAGCCGUUUUAAAAGUAUUUCGCUCAGCUGCCCAUGGCAUUUGUUUUUACCAUGUCAAAGACAAUGUUAAGUCAAAAUUCAAGAUGUCGAACUUUAGGUACAACUUUUCCUUUCCUUUUGAAGGCCCACUCCACUGGCAUAGAGAGUAAAAAGAGUUUCUUAUAAAUAAUUUUAGGAGGAUGCUUCUGCCACGACAAGUAAUACCAUAAACAAAUGAUUUCACCACAUUUCAAGAAAGCAUUUAACUUAUGCCUCAUUUUCAUUCUAGCAAUUUGCUUGCCAUUGGCUGAUUGGAAAAAGUGCAUUUAAGUGAUAGAUUACUGUCAACCUAUAGCACGAAUAGGGGUUAAACAAAGUAAAUCCCUAUCUUUACAUGUCAAAUAACAGACUUUCAUAAUAUCAAAUAUCAAAACUCAUGUCUAGUAAAGGAUUCCCCAAUGCUGGCUCUCAAAAUUGCUUUUGUUUCAUGGAUGAGAUGAUCGUUUUUGUGGAUAUUCUGCUCAACUUGGAUUAUGACUUGACUAAAUCUUAGUUGAUUUGCUUUUCCAAACUAAAUCCAAGCAAGUAAGUACAAGAGAUAAAAGCAAAAGUUCAAACAUCUCAUUUGAGCCUGUCACUAACAAAUGGUCAACGAGCAAUGUCUAGCUAUGACUGAGCAACAGAAUCAAUAAACAGACAGACAAAAAAUAAUAAUCAAGUCAUCUGUCAAAUGCUAGUCCAUGAAAAUCAUAUAUAUAUAUAUAUAUAUAUAUAUAUAUAUGUAUGUAUAUGUAUAUGUAUAUGUAUAUGUAUAUGUAUAUGUAUGAUCAUUCAUUUCUCAAUCAACCACCAAAUUGAUGUCAACCAAGCCAGGAGGAUUGUCUCACAAGUCUUUCAAUUUCCCUCUCUUUAGGCCAGAGACCAGUAAACCAUUUGAAAUAUGGAUGUGCAAACCAGUAAAUAAAUCAUGAAGUUACACACUAGUCUGCUUUCGCACUCAUUCAGAACUAUCAAUGAUACUUACUGCAGCGCAGGUACGGUGUAUACAUUAUACUAAAGUGAAGGCUGGAUCAAUAAGAAAUUCAAAAUGUUUCAUCACAUUUGGGGCUUGAUGAUGCCAAAAAAAGACCAUACCAAUUAUGAUGAACAGUAAAAUGUGAACAAGAACAAGCAUACAUUUAAGAAAGCAGAGAAGCAUCAUUAAAAUAAAGUAUUCUUCUUACUAUUCUAUGUUGUUGGAAAAUGGACCAAAAUAAAAAAGAAACCAUGUAUGGUUAACGUCACAACAAGAGUAUUUGUGCAUUUGUACAUCAUAGGAUAUUGGGAAGACAUCAGUAGGGAAGUGCAAAUUUUUUUUUUUUUUUUUGAGGAAAGGAUCAGAGAAGUGCAAGUCAAAAAGGAGAAAAAAUGAAAACAGAGAGAUCAAAAGGAAUGCGAUCUAAUUAAUCGUCUAAGGAGACUACUAUGCUACAUUUAGCCAUUGGUUGAAUAGGCAGCUUGUUUUCUAGUACAACUUUAAAUUUUCCAAGAUUUAGAAUUUUCCUACUGAAGAAAACUAAUUUCUCAAGCUUCUAUUACCAUCUUCAUCCCAACGGUAAGCAGCUCCAUCCACAGCAAUCACUGGCCUCAUGCACUGCAUGAAACCCUUGAUAGAAGAGCCAAUAGCUACAAAAUAGUAUAAGAAAUUAUCAUUUCCAUCUCGCUGCAGGUGAGUAACUGUACCUUCAUUUGCUUUGGUCAAAACAUGAGAGUAUUUAGAAAGUAAGUUAUAUGACUCUGCAGGGUUGCCUCUAACUAUUUCAAGGCCAACUUCUUUGGCCCGAUAUGCUUGCUGAUAUGUUAAUUGGACACCGUAUUCAUGUUGGAUGUCUGCUCUGAUAUCAUUUGGAGUAUAUAUUCGUUUUUCUUGGAUGAACUUGUCCGCAAUAAUAUGACCAACAACCCGACUCCUUACUUGACGAACACCACCAGCCAAUACCUCAUUACAACAAGUGUGUACGUUGUCAACUCUUCUCACUAACCACGGAACAUUCUGCAUAUAGCCUAAUUAUUACACAUGAUAUUUUGCUGCUGCCAUACUACUUACAUGCGAGUGCUGAUUUUUAAACAGAAAUAUUAAACAGAGCACUGACAGAAACAGAGUUAACACCCGACCGGGUUACCGUGUUAAUUGAAAACAAUUAAUUAACAGGACAAAAACACGAUAAAUCUGGUGGUUUUGUAGUUAAUUCUGCCUGCCCUCUGUCAAUUUCUUUAGUAUUUUUCCUCAUAUAUUUGACAUAUUGACCUAUCUGUGGCUGGAAAGAAAAAUGAUUUAAGUAAACUUUCCAAAAUGUUUUAUCAUUAUUUUAUUUCUGAAUAUCAGCAGUGCAUCAUUUUGAAAAUGUAACUGUGGGGUUUCAGGAUCCUCUCGAGCCAGUUUUGUUGUUCACAAAACCCCUUGUGCCAGAAAAAUUGGACGCUGCAGGUAUUGUUCCGCCGUCAGAUUCUUCUACGAGGAAUGGCACUAUAGCACGAACUCACAAAUUUCAUGGAAGAAUUGGCCGAGGGGGGCGGAUAGUAUUUGAUAGAUGUAAUCCUCUUAUGCACUCCUCAACUGAUAGUGGCACGUCUUUUUACUUGCCACCAAAACCCCGCACAUCUAUGUACAGUUAAAUUGAAUACUCGUUUUGUUUAAGCUCCAGCAUUAUUCGUUAGGGAGCCAAGUGUAAUUAUGCUCCGGCUGAUAUUUAUGUAGUUAAAUUGAAUACUUCCAUUGUCCCAGCUCCAGCAAUUAUUUGUUUGGGAAGUCAAGUGUAAUUAUGCCGAGGGCAAGCAAAAUACUAGGCUUGAUGAAUCUUUUCAGGCUUGGUCACAGGUAUUUCAUGACGUGCAUCUUGCCUUAUUCUUUUUAAAGAAAUGACCUUGCCCUUAUUUUCCUUUCAAGUUUAAACUUAAUGAGCUUUUAUUACAUCCUUUAUUGUUGAAAUGCUUGUGCUAAUCAUAGUAUUUUCAAAAUUUUCAGCCCAGUUGAUUAUAAAUUUUGUGUGAAUGUUACAAGAUAAAACUUACCUUUAAAAUGUUAACGAACCUGUAGGAUUGGACUUCUCUUUAAGACCUUGAAUUAAGUGGAGGGUGUUUCGGGGUUAAUAAACCAGGAACUAUGCAUAUACUUGGCCAAUAAGGAAUCCUACUAGUACAGAAUAAGGUUGUACAAGACAGUUAAAUAGAUGACGCAAUGGAGACGUCUCUGUAUCGACUCAAUUCAAACUAAUUGUACAACUUCAUUUCUGAAGGAGUCACCAUUUUUAGUCCCAUUUGGAGAAUGUGUACGUCUGGUGUUAAUGCUUAUAAUGAAAAUGAUGCACUAUGAUGCACUCAGGUUCUUUGUCCUCUCUUCUCUUCUGGUUACUCCAACACUCUUUCUUGACGUGCCCUUUCUUGCCACAGUUGUAGCAUUUAACAUUCUUCUUACUUCUGGAUUUUGAUCUACCCUGAUUUUGACUCCCACUGGGGCCACGUUCCGUUGAUCUCCCUCUCGUCACCGAUAGCGCUUCUGCUUGCUGCGAACUUGCUUGUCUAUUUUCCUUAUUUUUCCGCCUGCUCUCCUCAUUUAAUACGGAGGCUGCAACAUCGUCGAAAACUAGACUCUCCACUGGAUUGUUGUUCGUCAAGUUGAUGAUGAGUUGAUCAUACGAAUCUGGUAGACUUUGAAGUAGAAGCUCUGCACGUUCAUUUUCCUCUAUAUUAUGACCCAACGUUGUGAGUUGUGAAAAUAGAGUCUUCAAGGUGUUGAUGUGGUCGGUCACCAUUGUAGAUUCCGCCAUUCGAAGAGUAUAAAGUCUCCUCUUUAAGAAGAUUUUAUUGUGUAGUGACUUGGCCUCGUACAAUUUUGUAAGAGUAUCCCAUAUUUCCUUCGCUGUGUUUUUCUCUGCCACACUAGAUAAUACUCCAUCUGCAAGUGCCAAGUGUAGAUCAGAAAUGGCGUUGCCGUCUACCUCGUUCCACUUGUCAUCAGUUAUCUCCAUGGGCCUUUCUCCAAUUGUUGCCAAGCAAUUAUUUUUCCUCAAUACAGCUUUCAUCUUCAUUUUCCACAACGAAAAAUUAUUUCCGUUAAAUUUCUCAAUUUCAUACUUUGCCGCCAUUUUGUUGAUAAAUACUGCACACAAGCUAGUAUACCACCUUGAAUAGUUGUGAGUAUGUGUGAGAAUGCACACCAGGAAAGUUCCCAGGAAAGACUGGAGGGGUCACAAUGGUCCCACUUAAAACCCAGACUCCUUAAGCUCUUAUCGCCUUUGUGACAGAACUUUCCUAGACAUGUACAGAACCACACAGUUGCUUUACUCACACCAUUAUUCCCUGCUUUGCACCGCAAAAUUCUUGGAUUGCUUCCACCGUUUCACGUGAAUAGUACCGUAUACGUGAAUAGUGAUGUAUACCGUAUACGUGAAUAGUAUCGUAUACUGUAUACGUAAAUAGUGCCGUAUGCCGUAUACGUGAAUAGUGCCGUACGCCGUAUACGUGAAUAGUGUCGUAUGCCGUAUAUGUGAAUAGUGCCGUAAACCGUAUACGUGAAUAGUGUCGUAUGCCGUAUACGUGAAUAGUGCCAUACGCCGUAUACGUGAAUACGUGAACAAUUCCUGACUCCAAAAAUACAACCAAUGGCUCUGAUACCACUGUUAGGAAAUUGGUGGGUGAAGCAGACACGCAGCUAAAGUAAAAUUGGUAGAAAAAUAAAGAACGAGCACAAUAGAGGACACCAGAAAAUUACGUGGUUCGGCUUUUAGCCUAUGUCCACGGGCGAAGACAGAAGGAAAUAUUUUACUAGUGAAAAGGAGUUACAAGUAUUGUAGUAUUUUAGCUCACUUCCCAAAACCCCAAUACACCCAAACUCUCUCAAUCACUGUAACAAGAGCUUAUAAAUGCAAGCUCUCUAAAUUCUCUCUCAACUUCCUAAAUUGCUCUCUGAAAUGGAAUUAAAAGUACUCUUCAUCUGUACUUCUAUUUAUAGCAAACUAGUGGCCAAGAAAAUCAAAGCCGUGUUCACCAAAUUCUUCAUCAAAAACCGUGUGCAGCAAAUUCAAUCUUCAAACUUUGAACAACUUGUUGUUGACCAUCUAGAUGGCUGCUUCAAACCAUCUAGAUGGCUGGCUGCUUUUGACAUAUGUUUGGUGUUUUUCAAUUUAAAAUUGUGUCUAAUAGUGUAUUUUCAGAAUUGGACUAUAAAAAUAGAAAUAGAGAAAAUGAUAUAAAAUUAAGGUAAUAUAGGACGAAAAAGUAUGGACAAGGAAGCAGUAAUAUUUGGUGUUUUUCAUUUUUUUCAAUAAAAAAAUGAAAACAAAAUUUUCAAUAUCUAUUCAUCAUUUUUUGGGAAAAAAAAAAGAAGCUUAAAGAAUAAAUGAAAGGGCGUUUUAAAACAAAAAUGUGAUUGGUGUUUGAAUAAUGACCCUCUCGGUUAGGCAAAACAGUCACAUAAUCAUUUUUUUUUAAAACACAAACCUUUUGGUUCAGAAAUAAUCACACAAAUCUCAAUCUUUUAGCUAAAAAAGAGUUUGUGUAUCUCAAAAGAGACAUGUGUGACAUUUUCUAAAAACAAAAUAUCUUUAUAGUUAUUUUGCCAAAUCACGUGGUGCCUUUAGAAAUAGGAUAGAUUUUAAUUUGCCCCCAAUUUAAAAUGAAAAUCUUUAAUUUAUCACCCAAAAGUAUAAAAAUAUCAAGUUACCCCAUUUAUUGUUAAGAGGAUUAAAACAAAAAAACCAUCAACACAUUCCUUAUUUGCCCCUCAUCUUUUGGACGGAAAUGAAGAAUAAAUUGAGGUUUACAUUGAGAGCAAAUUAGAGAUUAUCAUUUUAUUUGGGAAUGAAUUAAACUUUAUCCUUAGAAAUAAAAAAUUCAAGAGAAGUACAUCAAAAAAGGUAAUAUAGUUUUCACUUUUUAUGGAGUAUUUGGGUAAGGGUAUUUGCACCCCACUAUUUUUGUAAAUCCACCCUACUUCUAGAAACUAAUUGCAAUGAAUUCACAAUAUUUUUUUAAAAAAUACAAAUUAAUAAAAAUUUUGUAUAGUUAAUCAGUUAAAUCCUUCUAUUAAUUUUUUUCUUGGGUUUUUUGACCAUCUUUAAUCAUAAAAUUUUAAUACAAGUUUUAUUUUAGUAUUUUAUUAUUAUGAUAUAUAGCGACUAAAUUACCAUAAUAAACAUGAGUUAUUUUAAAAUAAAAUGUUGGAGAAAUAUUCAAGGGUAAUAAUAAUUGUGGAAAGAGUGGGACUAUUAGCAGCCCUCUAUAUACCUCUUGAGCCCUGCUUGGAUAGUUACAAUUAUAGAUUAAAUUAAAAUUAUGAUAAUGGACAAACAAGUAGAUAGUCUGAUUGGAUGUGGAAUGAUUUCAUUUGAAUUUCUCUAAAGUUUAAACCAACUUACAUUUUUUCCACAUUGAAAGAGGAAUAGGUGGAAAGGUUAAAAUUGUAAAAGAAUAUUAUAACAGUUUCGAAGAAGAAAUCUUUAUGACGCAUUUUUAACUUGGUGAAAAUUUUCAAUCCCAAGAACUUUAAGCAUACGAAAGAGUGGAUUCUCUCAUUUCCGCCAUUUGUGAGGAUGAUAGUAACGAAGAGAGAACUCACAGAUUUAGUAGUGACGAAGCGAGCAACAGCAGCAGGAGAGAGAUAACAGCAGCACGGAGGAAGAUCAACAGCAGUGAAAGAGACAGAGCAGCAGCACCAGAGUGGUGAAGAAGAGAGAAUAGCAACACGUGCCAAAGAUGGAGAAAAAGAGCGAUUAGAUCUAUGAUAAGGGAGAGUGAAUGGGAAGAUCGCGAUAAGAUUUUAGGCGAGAGAAAUAGCGGUCACGGAUAAGCCUUGGAUUCUCUAUUUUUUGAUUUAUUUUAGCUUUAUAUUUGUAAUUCAUUGAGAAUAAGUUAUACACGUUCUCAAAUUUAUAACUAUAAAAGAAGAUAUGAAUUAUUUGUUUUACAAUUUGUUUUUUGAAUUUCGGCCAUCAAUCGCGCAUUAACUUAGAUUUAUAAAAGGAAAAUGAAAACAGGGCCCAUAAAUAUUACCGAACAUGCCCUAAUAUUCUCCACUAAUGUGCCAUUUUAACCUCCUACAAAAGAGCUCCCAACGGCGUGGUUGGGUUAGUUGCAGUGAAGUUAUAUCCUCUACCAAAACUCGGGUUCGAUUUUUGGGGUUGGUAAGGAGGGUAAAAAUUGUAUUUGGGCUUGCCCACCCCCCGUACCUUUAAAAAAAGUUUAAAAAAAAAAACCUCUUACAAAAGCGGCUACUCAGAAUUCAUAAUUGACCUCAGAACUGCAGAUCAUACGAGAACCCACCAAUAAUGAAUAGGCGCUUAAUGCAUUUGUUUCGAUUGUGAUAGGCCUACUAGGGCCGAACCUAGUGCAAUCGAUGCCAAAAAAUGUCUAUAUAUACCUAUACUAGUUUUAUGGGGUGUUGAGGAUCCAUUCACCCUCUUUGAUGGACCUGCUGGUUAAUACUCCUCAUUUCUACCUUCUUAACUCUCAAAUGUGCAAGUUAAUUGUAUUGGAAGGAGUGGGACAUCAUCCCCAUGACGACAGACCCAAGGAGAUCCAUGAAAAGCUGCUUUCUCGGUUGGCUGAAACAUUUAAGUGCUGAGGAAUUUACUUUCUCAUCUGCAAGUUUUGAUGAGCAUUAUUUAUUAUUCCUAAUGUAAAAUGACAAACAACUCUUGUAUUUAUAGUGUUAUAUUUUUUUUUAUUCAACCGCUUGAAUAUCUUUUGGCAUCGAAAGAAUGUAGGAGAAACUGAUCCCUGACAAGUUGUAAAAGCUCCAAAUUGAUUCAAGAAAUGUACCAAAUUAUUCAAUAAAAAGUCAAAUUCAGCACAAUAAUAAAGAACAAAUUAAUCUAUAUUGCUCAUGUUAAUGAUAUGUGAAUGAUAAGAUUCAAUUUUUCAUAUGAAAAAGAUACAAUAAUCUAAAUAGAAAUAAAGGUUCAUGGGCAUCUUUAACCUUUCCUUACAAGCUAGUUUUUUAAAGGUAAAUUCUACCCAUAGAUGAUACCACGUCAACUAUGGAAUCAAAUGAAACAUUUCGAAUAUGGAAUUGGUAUAAAUACUUGAAAGAGUGGAUACAUGUUUGUUGAUACAUAAAUCUAGUUGAGCUAUGUAGCGACCAGACAACCAGGCCAACACUUAAAUUUGUUGUUAUUGGAGAGACGGUUCUAUGCUAUUUCCUCACUAUCGAAUAAGUUCUUGCGACCUCAAGUACUUCCUUCAAGAACACCUACGUUUAUAACAUCUAGUUAGAGGAUGCCUGAGGUUUUUCCGGCGUGAACCCUCCGACGCUUAAGUGGGCGAUCUGGGUCUACUUGAAAAAACUCGUGACAUGAUUCACGUGACUUAAUUACAACUACUCUGAAUGAAAAAAAGGUUUAAUUUCAUAAAAAAGGAAAAAUAGAGAAGAUAAAAUUGUGAAUAGAGAGAGUAUGAAAAAAUUAAGUAAAAAAUUAUCUAAACCCCUUACCUCUAUUCUCUAAAGCUUUAAUAUCCAACCAAAAUUAUCGGCCUCCUCUCUCCCCCAACACCGUUGCUGGGUUGGUCACAUAACUGUGGGAGAGUAGGUAGCGUAACUGCUAGUGAGUGGGCUUCAUGCUCGAAUUCUUUGGAGGAAACCCAUGGGUUGACCUUUAACCAAGUCGUCGAUUUGACUUAACUCUAGUCUCUCCUCGUGCUUCCUCGAGCCGACUUUGCUCAUGUGACCAGCCACACACCUCAUCGGGGAUAAUCUUUCUCGAUGAGUCAUUUUAGGCCGAGGGGAGCACAUUUUGCUCAUGUGUGCCUGAUCAUGAUGUUUUUCACCCCAAAAUAGAUGUUUAAGCAAACUGAUUCAUAGAAAAAUUGAGUUGGUGAAAAUGACAUCUAUCAUGUUCUUUUUUUUAAAAUCAAUAUACAAAUAUGUUUUUUAAAAUAUAUAAGAUUUAACGGAGUUUAACUGUUCCCUCUUUAUUGCUUUUGCUUCCACAUGAUAAAACUUUCCCAUAUACAACAAUUUAGAUUUAACAAAAUAUAAAAUUUUCAAAUGUGAUUGCGUUAUAUACAUGAGAGUUGAUGUAGUGCGCAACGGGAUGAGUGGCAUGUGUUCAUUGGUUGAGAUAUGGGCCAACAACAUACUCUGUAAGAACUCGUUGCGCGUCCUGUAAUAUUCCAUGCCGCUGGCAAAUGAGUUUUUUCACUAGUUUAUAAUUCACAUGCUCACCUAAGUAGAUGUGUUUUGGGUUGCAAAGUCCAAUAACAAAUCGUUGUGGGUGGUGUGUGCAGAGCCAGAAAGAAGGCCAAUAGUUUUAAUUUUACAAUAUACAUCAUGUGCUUUUCAUACAUUAUACUCUUCACCUAAUAAGGUAAAGUUCAAUACUCUAGUGUGAAUUUGAAAGAAAGUUAAAAGCUGUUUGUUUCAAGAGAAAAUUUACAGAGGAAAAUUAAAGUUCUUAUUUCUUUUACUCUUUUUCCAUUACUUAACAACUGAACAUAUACAGCUUAUAUACUCGAAGAUAUUUACAUACACAUGCUAAAGGAACUAGUAACAAACAUUAACAACUUAUGCUGACUUAUUAAUUCCCGUAACUAAUUCUGCUGAUCUGGCACUGAUGAGCUGGCACAAUUAACUUGCUUCACUAACUAAGACUGAGAACUUCUUUGCCUUCCUGUUCUUCAUAAACGCAGCACAAUGAGCUUCCCUAAUAGAAUUUGCGUUACAUGCACCAGAUCCGUCGAAAGUUAUAACAUGAAUGUUUUGUUCCAAGAACUGAUUUUGGCACUUUCUUCUAUUAUUAAUAGUGAUUUGAAAAAGGAAAACAAUAAAAAUACAUUCAUGAAAAUCUCAGUCUUCUUCGUUAUAGUUGAAACAUCUGCUUGGGUCUUCCAUUGAAUUCGUAGAGUCUGCAAUGCCAAAAAAUUGGAUCCCACAUUUUUUCACUCCGCAACACUCACACUCCAAAGGUGGAAAAACAUUAAAGUGGAUUGUCUCAGGAAAGCAAUUGCAUUUCCAAAAACCAUUAAAAUCCUCUUCAUAGAACAAAUAGUAUCCCAAAUGUAAGUGAUCUGAUUCUAAAUAAUUAACUCUUCUUUGAAAUAACAGUGUGUCAUGCGGAUCACAAUCUUUGGUGGUUUCCACUUUGAGCUCACAAGAAAAUGAAAACCAUCUACCAUAAUCUACAUGACGGCCUGAAAAUCCUAAAAUAGCACCAAAUGCAAAGCCCAGUACUCUGUUGUUAUUGAAGAAAUCUGGGGGCAUCUCUAACGUUAUAAAAGAUCCCACACUUUGAAAAUUAAACCACCUUGGAAUUUCAUUCCCAGCUAGUACGUAAUGGCCUUCCUUGGGAAAACCUCUCUAUACCAAAAGAUCAAAAUUUUAAACCCAAAAAAAAGGUAUAAAUUGUAAGGAGAAAGAAUUAAGACACACCUUUUCCCGUACUUCUUUCCAAUGGGCAGGUACCACAUGGCCCAUAUAUUGAAUUCUCAUGUCAUCUUCAAUAAUUCCUGCAGUAGUAUUACCUUGCAAUUAAAAAUUAUUGCUCUAGUAAAAAAACAUUGCCUAUAAGAUUCAGAACUUAGAGAAUAAACCUGUUAAUGAUUGUGGUGCCGAGUAAUGAUCGGCAUCUAACCAUCGUACAAGGAAUAGAGGCUUUGGUAAGGAUUGAAGCCCCUCACAAUAAUCGAAGAGGAUGUAUCGCAACAUAAAUUGUUGGAUAAUGCUUUCUGGUAUUCUCUCAAUAUUGGUUUUCAAUAGAUUCACUACUAAUGGCGACGAUAACUGGCCAAGCCAUUCGGGCAAUCUCUGAAGAUUUGAGCAACCACGGAGACUAAGAAGUUCAAGAGACUUCAACUUACAGAGGCUGCUUGGGAGACUCUUAAGCCUUUUACAAUCCGAAAGGUCUAACAACCAAAGCCUAAGUAGAAGCUCAAAUGAUGAGGGCAGUUCUUCAAUUGCAGUUCCACUUAAAAAUAGCCGGCCUAUGUUACCAGAUGAGAUCUCUGGAAGCCUCUUCAACUUUGAACAACCCGAAAGAUCAAGUUCGGUAAGAAAUUCCAAAUUAAACAUUCCAGCUGGAAGACUUUUCAGGGUUUUGCUACCGCUUAGAUUCAAGAUAACUAGCUUGUUCAGAUGUGGAAUCAACGUGGGGUUUAGAGUUUUGGGAAUUAGCUUCUUGCAGGCAGCAUGGAUUAGCUGGUUUAACUUACUAUAAUGCUGCUCGGUCAAAAAAGAGGCAAAGAUAAAAUCAUUAUUAUGCAUGAUAAUUUAAUGUUCUUAUUGAAAUAUUGCACAUAUAUAUUAAGAUAAACAUACCUUCACACCAUUCCAAAGUUGUUCAAUGUCGCUAUUAGGCACUUCAAGAAACACAAGCUUCUCUGCACUAUGGUUUGAAGGCAAUGACUUCAACGGAUAUCCAUGCCAGUGAAGAUAUUUCACUUCAGCAAAUCUGAGGUCUUGCAAAUGAGACACCUUGCAUUUGUUCUCCCCAUUGAAUGAUGAACUAUAGAAUUUUAAAAAUCUCAAUUUACGCAUCUUUGCGAAAGUAAUGGGAUUUAGAUGGAUCUCUUUUACUUUUGCCAUAUCCAAACAGAUGCCCUCAAUUUUUUCUGUCCCCUAAAAAUAAAUAGAAAAAUCAAUAAAGUUAACAUCAAAUGAAAAAUGAUAUUUAUAUUCCACUAGUGAUUAACACUUCAGCUCCACCAAGACAAAUUUUUGGGGCAAGUUUGUCACUCAUUCACAAUUAAAGGUAGCUUAGUUAUUAAUUCAACUUUAAUUUGUCCUUGUGUGGAGUUUAUGUCAGAUUGGAGUGGGGUUCUCCAUCAUUACUCAAAUUAAAUUUCAAUAAUUCAUGUUUAUUGUUAUUGCUAGGCAGUUAAACUCUUAAUUGCAAAUGCACAAAGAAACAUAAUAGUACAAGUAAUACUUAACAUAAAAAUUCUGUAUGUGUACUAUACAAAUUUAUAUAUCAAUUAUGCUUGAAAACGGUUAUGCAAGUUGUCAACCGCAUUUAUAAUUUAUUGCUACAUCACCUAACCACUAUUGUUUUUUCCGAUCAUUGUGACUCUUGUAUUAAUUCUAAGACUCAUUUGUUCGAGCGUAAAUAAAUAUAUUCACAUCAAGUUUUGAAACACUACAAUAUUCCAAAAUAAUAAUCCACAACAAGCUGCUUACCGUAUUAUACGUAAGAACUUCAUAGAUAUCCUCAUGAUGCCACAAUCUACUGCGGUUUUCAGGAUUAAUUGAUUCUUGUCGAACAAUUUCCCUACCCAAUUCUUGUAGUAAAUCAUGCAUUGUUAUCUUUUUGUGUGAAUCAAUAGCGAUGAGAGACUUAUCAACAAGAACACUUAUUCCUAUUUCUGGGUAGAAGCCGCUUGCAUUAAAGAAUUUCAUUAUAGGAUUUACAUGCUCACCUCGAAAGAAACAAGCAACAUCAAGGAAAAUACUUUUCUCUUUAUCGUCCAAAUCAUCAUAACUUAUUUUUAAUACCUCUAGAAUACUUGGAUGGAGGAUUCUUUGCAAUUUAUCUAUUGCGCUUUCCCAGACUUCUUUUUCCCUUUUAUGUAGAAAGCAACCCAAAACUUUAAGAGCUAAAGGAACACCUUGUGCAUAUUUCAUUACUUUGCUUGAAAAAUCCUCAUAACCAACAUCAGGAUGGUUUUGUUUGAAGGCAUGUCGACUAAAAAGCUCAAGAGCGUGAUGAUAUUCUAAUGCCUGCAUCUCAUAAAUUUUCCUCACCCCCCAAUUUCGAAGCACUUGUUUAUUUCUGGUGGUUAUUAUAAUUCGACUCCCAGGCGUCAACCAAUCAAGACUUCCGAUUAAGGAUUCUAAUUGGUUGAAGAAAGUCACAUCAUCAAAAACAAUCAGAACCUUCAUACGGCUGAGCCUUCUAAAAUUGAGGUCAAUAUAAGGCAUCACAUCUUUAUCCUUCAAUAAAUUUGAAAGAAGUUUUUGUCGUAAGCAAGCUAAUCCUCCUGGUCUUUGUGACUCUUCUCUAACAUUUUCGAGGAAGCAAGAACCUUCAAAAUCACCCGAGAUUUUGUCGAAAAUAGCUCUAGCAAUUGCUGUUUUGCCUAUACCACCAAUGCCCCAAAUCCCUAAAGCAUAAACAUCUUUCGACUCAACACCUAAUAGGGAUUCAAUUUCCUCAACUGUUGAUUCCACUCCAACCAGCUGGUUUUUGUUAUCACGGGGCUGAAACACUUCAUCCAAUCUCUUCAAAAUGUGAUUAACAACUUCAUUUGUAAGUUCCGACUCACACCUAGCAAAUACAUAAAAUUAGCCAAAGUAACUUCAAAUUAAUACGAGGAAUUUGCAUUAAGUAUGAAGUAAGGGAGAUUGUCAGUUUUCUUAUUGAAAUUAAUAUAUACCACCACUAGUCUACAAUCUCCCAGUAAAUUAAUAACUCUUAAAUUACAGGAAUAUGUGUGAGUUUUUUUUUUUUUUGGAAAAAUUAUCACUGCACUACCUCUCUUUUGUCUUAUAUUCAUCCAACCACCACAAAAUUAUAACAUAUUCUUUACACCACCUUUUUUUUUUAAAUUUAUAUCAAUUAGCCACUUUUGCACUAACACCGUUAAAUAAUUUAAACAAAAUGAUAAAUUUACCUCUAAAUAAACUAAAAGAUCAUUUUAUUUUAUAAAAGCUUGGAAAAAUAAAAAAAAAUUAUAAUUAAAAAAAUACCCCUAAAUUUAAUAAAAAAAAUCUCAAAUAGAGGUGCUCAGCUAAUUUUAAUUAAAUUUAGAUUUUAUAAAAUUUUAAUAAUUAUGUUUUAUUAAAAAUUAUAAUUUUGUAAUAUUUUAAUAAAAAUAACUGAAUUUAUUAUUAAAAAAUUAUAAUUUUGUAAAAUUUAAUUAAAAUAACUGAAUUUAUUUAUUAAAAAAUAAAUCCUAAAAUUUUAAUAAUUUAGGGGAUUUUUAUUAAAUCCCAAAAUUUUGUAAUUAUUUUUAUCAUUUUAAUUUUUUAUUAAAAUAAUUUUUAUUAUAAUAUUGGGAUUUAUUUUUUAAUUAAAUUUAGGGAUAUUUUUAUAAUUAUAAUUUUUUUAUUUUCUUAGUUUUUACAAAAUAAAAAUGGUCUUUUAAUUUAUUUAAUGGUAAAAUUUUCAUUUCAUUUAAAUUAUUUCAUGGUGUUAGUGCAAUAGUGACUUAUUGAUACAAUUUUUUUUUUAAAAAUGUGGUGCAAAGAACAUGUUAGAAUUUUGUAGUGAUUGGAUGAACAAUAGGUAAAAGGAAGGUGGUGCAAUGAUAAUUUUUUUUUUUUUUUUUUCCUAAUGGUGGUGUAUGAGUGAGAGGUUGCAAUUGCUUAAAAACCGACAGACCACCACUAAUUUUGUUAGAUGUAUAUUGUAAAAUUCUCGAGCUUUUAUUAUUAAUUCUUUCAAAAUUAUUUUAUAAUUAUGGGAGCACAAAAGUGGGGAAGUCAGGAAGUCUAGAAUUUGAUGCUUAAAAAUUUUUAAAAUUGUAGUUUAGCAUCCGGAAAUUUAACUAAGAGUGCUGCGUGAAUUUUAUUUAUUGUUAAAUAUUAGUAUGAGAAAUUAAAGGUUUAACUUUUCACCUGAUGUUAGGAGAAUGAAAUCCACACAAACUUGCUGCUUCCUCCAAAGCAUUCCUCCAACUCUGCAGCUUCUCAGUAUUCUCCUUUAAUCUUUCUUCAAGCUUCGAAAAUGAAUCUCCAAAACUCCCAGUUUGGUUUCUCACGUCUGAUGGAUCAACCCGAUAGAAAACCGGAAUCACAAUCUGUGCAUACUCCUUCUUGCAGUCGAGGAUCUUUACAAGUUCAUCGAGACACCAUCUGGAAGAUGCAUACCCUUCUGAGAAGACGAUAACUGAAAUGGCUGAUGCUUCAAUUGCAUUCACAAGUGACUCUGAAAUUUCAUCUCCUCUGUUAAGUUGGUCAUCAAUGAAAGUUUGGAUAUUUUGUCGACACAGAGCAGAAUAGAGAUGGCUAGUAAAGUUGUCGCGGGUGUCCUCUCCUCCGAAACUAACAAAAACAUCAUACUUCUUGUUGUUUCGAGAAGAAGAAGCCAUAAUCAACAGAAACAGUUGAAUUGAUUAGAGAGAGAUUUUGAUUCGGAUGAAAACAAUUAUUGAACCAAAUGUGAGCGACUCUGUAGAAUAAAUCGAUGCCAUGAACCUUCCUUCAAGUUCCUUGAUAAUUUUUCAAUUUCGUCUCAUUGUCCAAGUACCGUGCACUCCACGAUGAUUGAUUAAUUCCACUGCUUUGUAGACCUCUAGCUGAAAAUUCCACAUGAACACCAGACUUUUCAACACACGGCUUCUGUGCUUUCAUACUCAUAACUAUCAGCAACGAGGGGCUGAUAUUUUAGUUUUUAUCCUCAAUUUAUCUAAAUUGGCAAGACGCAUUUUAGGGUGUAUAGGCACUCUAAAAACAAAAUCGUGCAGACCUUGUUAAGGCCCAAAGCUACACAAUGUAGGAGAGAAGGCCAAUAAUUUUAAUUUUACAAUACACAUCAUGUGCCUCUCAUACGUUAUACUCUUCAUCUAACAAGGUAAAGUUCAAUACCCCUCGAAAGUUAUUACAUGAAUAUUUUGCUCCAAGUACUGAUUUGGACAUUUUCUCCUAUUAUUAAAAGUGAUUAGAAAAAGGAAAGAAAUAAAAAUACAUUCAUGAAAAUCUCAGUCUUCUUCGUUAUUGUUGAAACAUGUGCUUGGAUCUUCUAUUGAAUUCGUAGAAUCUGGGAAGCAAAAAAAUUGGAUCCCACAUUUUUUCACCCCGCAGCACUCACACUUCAAAGGCGGAAAAACAUUAAAGUGGACUGCCUCAGGAAUGCAUUCGCAUUUCCAAAAACCAUUAAAAUCCUCUUCACAGAACAGAUAGUAGCCCAAAUGUAAGUGAUCUGAUUCUAUAUAAUUAACUCUGCUCUGAAAUAACUGUGUGUCAUGCGAACCACAAUCUUUAGUAGUUUUCACUUUGAGCUCAAAAGAAAAUGAAAACCAUCUUCCACAAUCUACAUGACGGUUUGAAAAUGCUAAAAUAGCACUAAAUGCAAAGCCAUGCACUCUGCUACUAUUGAAGAAAUCUGGUGGCAUCUCCAAGGUUAUAAAAGAUCCCACACUUUGAAACUUAAACCACUUUGGAAUUUCAUUCCCAGGUAGUACUAUAUGAGCUUUGCCCAUGGAAAAACCUCUCUGUACCAAAAAAACAUAAUUUUAAACCCAAAAAAACAAUUGUAGAAAUUUUAAACAAAGAGAGUUAAAGACACACAUUUUCCUGUAUUUGUUGCCAACGGACAGCUAGCUUAUGGUCCAUAUGCGGAAUUCUCUCGGGAUCCACAACAAUUCCUGCAGUAUAAUUGCCUUCCAAUUUAAAAUUAUUGCUCCGGUAAAAAAAAAUUGCCUAUAAGAUUCAUUACUUAGAGAACAAACCUAAAAAUGGUUGCAGUACCAGGCGACGUCGUUCAAGGAAUGGAAGCUUUGGUGAGGAUGGAAACCUUUCACUAUAACUUAAGAAGAGGUAUCGCAACACGAAAAGUUGGGUAAUUCUUUUUGGUAUUCUCUCAAUAUUGGUUUUCGCUAGAUUCAAUAAUAUUGGCGAGGAAAAUUGGCCAAGACAUUCGGGAAAUCUUUGAAGAUUUGAGCAACCACAGAGAGUAAGAACUCCAAGAGAUUUCAACUUACAUAAGCUGCUUGGGAGACUCGUAAGCCUUUUACAAUAUGAAAGGUCCAAGUACUUGAGCCUAAGUAGACGCUCAAUUGAUGAGGGCAGUUCUUCAAUUGCAGUCCCCCUUAAAAAAAACCAGCUUAUAUUACCUGAUGAGAUCUCUGGAAGCCCUUUCAGUUUUGAGCAGCCCGAAAGAUCAAGUUUGGUAAGAAAUUCGAAGUUAAAUAUUCCAGAUGGAAGACUUUUCAGGUUUUUGCUACCUCUUAGAUUCAAGAUAACUAGCUUGUUCAGACGUGGCAUCAACGUGGGAUUUGGAGUUUUGGCAAUUAGCUUAUUGCAGGCAGCAGGGAUUAUCUGGUUUAACUUGCUAUAAUGCUGGUCGGUCAAAAAAGAGGCCAAGACAAAAUCGUUACCACGUAUAAUAAUUUAAUGUUGUUAUUGAAAGAUUGCACAUACAUAAUAAGAUAUGCAUACCUUCACACAAUCCCAAAGUCGUUUAAUGUCACUAUCAGGCACUUCAAGUAACACAAGUUUCUCUGCACUAAGGUUUGAAGGUAAUGACUUCAACGGAUAUCCAUACCAGUGUAGAUAUUUCACUUCACCAAAUCCCGGAUCUUGCAAAUAAGAUAUCUUACAUUUGUUCUCUCCAUUGAAUGACGAACUAUAGAACUUUAAAAAUCUCAAUUUAGGCAUUUUUGUGAAAGUAUUAGGAUUUAGACGGAUCUCUUUUACUUUUGACAUAUCCAAACAGAUGCCCUCAAUUUUUUCUGUCCCCUAAAAAUAAAUAAAAAAAAUAAAGUUAAAAUCAAAUGAAAGAUGAUAUGUAUAUUCCACUAAUGAAUUGCACUUCAACCCCACCAAGAAAAACAAUUUGGGGCAAUUUUGUCACUAAUUUACAAUUAGAGGUAACUUAGUUAUUAAUUCAAUUUUUAUUUAUUCUUGCAUGGAGUUUAUGUGGGAUUGGAGCGGGGCUCUCUGUCAUUACUCGAAUCAAAUUUCAAUAAUUCAUGUUUAUAGUUAUUGCUACGCAGUUAAGAAACAUAAUAACACAAGUAAUAAUUAACAUAAAAAUUCUGCAUGUGUAAUAAUUUUACAUAUCAAUUAUGCUUGCAAACGGUUAUGCAAAUUGUCGUCGCAUUUAUAAUUUAUUGCUACGUCAUCUAACCACUAUUGUUUUUUCUAAUCAUUGCCACUCUUCCAUUAAUUCUAAGACUCACGAGUGCGAGCGUAUGUAAAUAUAUUCACAUGAAGUUUUUAAACACUACAUUGUUCCAAAAUAAUAAUACACAACAAACUACUUACCGUAUUAUACGUAAGAACUUCAUAGAUAUCUUCAUGAUGCCAGAGCCUACUGCGGUUUUCAGGAUUAGUUGAUUCUUGUCGAACAAUUUCCCGACCCAAUUCUUGUAGUAAAUCAUGCACUGUUAUCUUGUUGUAUGAAUCAAUAGCAAUGAGAGAUUUAUCAACAAGAACACUCAUUCCUAUUUCUGGGUAGAAGCCACUUGCAUUAAAAAAUUUCAUUAUUAUAUCUACAUCCUCACCUUGAAAGAAACAAGCAACAUCAAGGAAAAUAUUUUUCUCCUUAUCGUCCAAACUAUCAUAACUUAUUUUUAAUACCUCAAGAAUACUUGGAUGGAGGAUUCUUUGCAAUUUAUCUAUUGCACUUUCCCAGACUUCUUUUUCCCUUUUAUGCAGAAAGCAACCCAAAACUUUAAGAGCUAAAGGAACACCUUGAGCAUAUUUCAUUACUUUGCUUGAAAGUUUCUCAUAACCAACAUCAGGAUGGUUUUGUUUGAAGGCAUGUCGACUAAAAAGCUCAAGAGCGUGAUGAUAUUCUAAUGCCUGCAUCUCAUAAAUUUUCCUCACCCCCCAAUUUCGAAGCACUUGUUUAUUUCUGGUGGUUAUUAUGAUUCGACUCACAGGCGUCAACCAAUCAAGACUUCCAAUUAAAGAUUCUAAUUGGCUGAAGCAAGUCACAUCAUCAAAAACAAUCAAAACCUUCAUGCGGCUGAGCCUUCUAAAAUUGAGGUCAAUAUAAGGCAUCACAUUUUUAUCCUUCAAUAAAUUUGAAAGAAGUUUUUGUCGUAAGCAAGCUAAUCCUCCUGGUCUUUGUGACUCAUCUCUAACAUUUUCGAGGAAGCAAGAACCUUCAAAAUCACCCGAGAUUUUGUCGAAAAUAGCUCUAGCAAUUGCUGUUUUGCCUAAACCACCAAUGCCCCAAAUCCCUAAAGCAUAAACAUCUUUCGACUCAACACCUAAUAGGGAUUCAAUUUUCUCAACUGCUGAUUCUAGUCCAACCAGCUGGUUAUUGUUAUCACCCCGCCGAAACACUUCAUCCAAUCUCUUCAAAAUGUGAUUAACAACUUCAUUUAUAAGUUCCGACUCACGCCUAGCAAAUACAUAAAAUUAGCCGCGGUAACUUCAAAUUAAUUAAUAGGAGGAAUUUGUAUUAAUUAAGGUAGAUUGUUAGUUUUCCUAUUGAAAUUAAUAUAUUCCACUAUAAGUCUACAAUCUUACAAUUAAUUGAUUAACUCUUAAGUUACAGGAAUAUGUGUGAUUUUUUUUUUAAUGGUGGUAUCUGAGUGAGAGGUUGAAAUUGCUUGAAAAACUACAAAGCACCACUAAUUUUGCUAUAUAAAAAUUGUAAAAUUCUCGCGCUUUUAUUAUUAAUUCUGUCAAAAUUAUUUUACAUGAGCACAAAAGUGGGGAAGUCAGGAAGUUUAGAAUUUGAUGCUUAAAAUUUUUAAAAUUGUAGUUUAGCAUCCGGAAAUUUAACUAAGAGCGCUGCGUGAAUUUUAUUUAUUGUUAAAUAUUAGUAUGAGAAAUUAAAGGUUUAACUUUUCACCUGAUGUUAGGAGAAUGAAAUCCACACAAACUUGCUGCUUCCUCCAAAGCAUUCCUCCAACUCUGCAGCUUCUCAGUAUUCUCCUUUAAUCUUUCUUCAAGCUUCGAAAAUGAAUCUCCAAAACUCCCAGUUUGGUUUCUCACGUCUGAUGGAUCAACCCGAUAGAAAACCGGAAUCACAAUCUGUGCAUACUCCUUCUUGCAGUCGAGGAUCUUUACAAGUUCAUCGAGACACCAUCUGGAAGAUGCAUACCCUUCUGAGAAGACGAUAACUGAAAUGGCUGAUGCUUCAAUUGCAUUCACAAGUGACUCUGAAAUUUCAUCUCCUCUGUUAAGUUGGUCAUCAAUGAAAGUUUGGAUAUUUUGUCGACUCAGAGAAGAAUAGAGAUGGCUAGUAAAGUUGUCGCGGGUGUCCUCUCCUCUGAAACUAACAAAAACAUCAUACUUCUUGUUGUUUCGAUAAGAAGAAGCCAUAAUCAACAGAAACAGUUGAAUUGAUUAGAGAGAGAUUUCGAUUCGAAUGAAAACAAUUAUUCAAUUUCAUGAACCUUCCUUCAAGUUCCGUGAUAAUUUUUCAAUUUCAUCUCAUUGUCCAACCACCGUGCACUCCACGAUGAUUGAUUAAUUCAACUGCCUUGUAGACUUUUAGCUGAAAAUUCCACACGAACACCAUACUUUUCAACACACGUGCUUCUGUGCUUUAAUGCUCAUAACUGCCAGCAAUAAGUAGGGUGAUAUUUUAAUUUUUAUCUCUGAAUUUAUCUUAUCCGUCCUCAUCUCUCAAUUAAUUGUAUUUAGUUUCCAAAUUAUUCUUUUUUUUUGUUUUAAUAGCUCUUAUUCAUGUUCCUUAGCGUUUAAAGUCUAAAAAAAAUUAGUUAUUUAUUUUUUAUAACUUAUAUAUGAUUUUUAAAUAUUUAUAUUUAAAUUAAAAAGUAAUUUUUUUUUGUGACCUUUGCCUAAAUGAGAAAAUGUUUCAAUGAAAAAUAAAUACUAUAUUCUAAGAAUAUUUCUAUUCAAUAUUGUUAUUUCCUAAACUAUAUUGUCAUAUGUGGCUAAUUGUCAAAGCAAUAGCAAGCUGUUAGCUUAAAGCAAAGCAUAUUCAUGCUUCACCCAUGAGAAUACAACCAAUUCUAAUGCAUGUAUUGUGACGCACGUGCAAACUAAAAGGAGGCACAUGGGUUAAUUGUCAAAGCAAUAGCAAGCUGUUAGCUUAAAGCAAAGCACGUGCGUGCUUCAUCAAUAGGAUCUGUGAGUGGAUUAUUAUUAUUAUUAUUACUAUUAUAUAUUUCACAAAACAUUUAUGUUUGAUAGUAUGAUUUAGUAUAAUGUUAUGAUUAUAUGUACGUACAUUAUAUGAUUGACUGAGUCAUGAGAUGUAAUUGACAGGCACCAUAUGUGUACAUUUCCUCAUAGGCUCUACGCAUACGUAUUGAGAGUUAAAUUACUCGACCCUUGUGAUAUUGUAAAUUCUACUGAGUAUUGAGAGGUUUUUCUCCCUUUUUUACUCGUGUGAUGAUGAUCCCAGUGAGUAUUGAGAGUUAUUUUCCCUGUAUAUUAUUUGGUGCAAUUUUGUCAUGUGUGUAUAUACGAGUUCAUGUUUGCUUUUGUAAAGCGUUCAGUGUAAAGUUAUGUCAUACAAUUAUGACGAGCACUAAAGCACUAAUUUAUUUUUAUAUAUAAUUAUAUUCAUUCAUUGAGCCGCAAGCUUACUAUUUUCCUAUUUACCCCAUUUCUCUAAGGUUUCCAUAGGAUUUCGUGUAUUUCAAUUUCUGAUCAAUUGAGGUUGGGCCACGACACGCAUUACUGCACGAAUUACAUUUUGACCACGUUUAUAUUUAUAUGUAUAUUUUUGAAGUGUAUGUAUGUUCAGUGAGAUAUGAACUAUGUAAGUUUUUAAUAAAUUUUUGAAUGAGGCACAUAGAUUAUUAUAUGUUUAUAACAAAGGCCAAGGCUAGUGUUAUAUAUUCAUGAAUUAAGUUUAUGUCAUGAGCUUUAGAUAUAAAAUUGCAUGAUUCACCCCAGAUCCAACAGAAGGGUUGAGGUGAUUUGUGUCAUGUAUGAUAUGUACAUAUUUAUAUUCAAUAUAACCACCAUUUGAAUGAUAGUUUUUUAAAAUCAGUGCACAUGUGUCGUAUCAUAACUCACUUGUUGUAUGGCUAACAUGGUACUUCUGAUAUAAUCUAAAAUUUCUUCCUUAGUUAGAGGCAUUUGUUUUAAAAUUUUAUUUAAAAGAAGGUCAUUUUAAAUUUCAAAAUGUAAAGUGUAUUUUCUACAACACUAAAGGAUGAAACAUCCUUCAAUAUAGAUUUCUUAAUAAAUUUUAAGAGAACUAACAGAAAGUGGUUAUUUCAUUCAUGGUUAUUAAAUCAAAAUUUGAAUUAGAUCAUCACUGGUCCAAAAUAAACUAUCGUCAUUUCAAAUUGAAGCAUGAAACCGUGAAUGGAUGCAUCCUUAAAUAAAAGGAUACAUUUUUAUUAUAUAUGACACUGUUUAAUUAGAUAUAUCUUUACAGUCAGGACACAUUUUUAGAGCACCAUUUAUAUUGAAAAUAUUCCAGCAUAAAAUAUGUCUCUCUCCUUAUACGAGUAUUUUGCAAAUAAUUUGCAAAUAAUACAGAGCCACCACGAGUUCAAAAAUAAUAAAACAAUAACAUUGCUCACUUGCUGGACUGGGCUGGACUGGGCUGAUUGGGCUGGGCCUGCUUUCAUCAUCGCAUACACGGUGAGGGAAAUUGAAAUUGAUGAUGGCGUUGGCCGCUCAAUUCCUGCUUCGGAUUCCCCAACUCGGAAGGAAAAAUAUAAACUUUCCGUCGUAUAAGCAUCGCGGGAAUUAUCAGCCAUUGUUGUUGUCUUGCAAUUACAGCACCAAUGACAAUUGUUCUUCAACUUCUUCUUCUUCUUCUUCUUCUUCGAAGAAUUACUUAGAAUUGACGGACGAUGAGAUGUUUCGCGAAUGCUAAAUGGACGCGUACAAAUCGUCGGGACCAGGCGGUCAGCACCGCAAUAAGCGCGAAUCUGCCGUACGUCUCAAGCACGUACCGACCGGCGUCAUAGCACAUGCCGCCGAACACCGAUCGCAGCACAAGAAUCGCGCGUCAGCUUUGUCGCGCCUCCGCACUCUUUUGGCCCUCAAAGUGAGGAGCAGUGUGAAUCUUGAUGCGUAUUCGCCGCCGCCACAGCUUCUUCAAAUCCUUCCUCCUAAGUCUACUAUUAGAAGUUCAGAAGUUGGUCCACAAAUUGGACCUAACAAUCCUAAAUUUGCUUUGGUAUUACUCUAUUCACUCUUGCUUUGUUUUUUUGUUUUCUGUUAAAAUUUAAGUCAUCGUAAUGUUUUUUUUUUUGGUUAACUUCAGGGAAUGCAAGCUCUGCUUGAUCUAAUUUUCGUAGGUUAAGCACUGGAGCAUUGUCACGGUUGAUUCUAUUGGAUGAUUCUCUUCGAAUGGCCGUGAAUGAGUUCAGGACUUCUAAGGUAUGCUAAUUCAUAGCUGAUAGUGUGUAUUACGAUAAGAUUCAACCUGUUGGUUAAUUUAAAAUUGUUAUAUUCUUUCUUAUUUGUGCAACAAAUAUAAUAAGUCUGUUUUUUGUGGUUGAGUGUCUGCGUCAGUGCCUGAUGGCAUUUUUUGUGGUUUAAGUAGCUUUAUAGCAUAUUUGGCUCUCUGUUUAUGAAUAAUGUUCAAUAGCAACCUGCCCCAUUGAUACGAGAAAUGUAUGAUAUAAUUUUUCAAGAUACCUACCUGCAUUAUGAAUUGUUAUUGGAAGGAAGUACGAGAAUAAAUUAAGAGCAAAGACUGAUUAAAAGAUGUAUCUUUCAUUAUUAAGCGAAGUGUAUGUUCUGCUUCUCAUUCACUUUACCAGAAUUACAAAAGUUUUAUGUUAUUGAUGGUUGGAUAGUUUCUGGGUUAUCCUUGUUUUUUUUUUUUGUGUUAAUUGCUUUACAUACAUUAUGUGUGUAAUUUUUUAAUGGACAAUCUUCAUUUGAAACAUGAAAAUUUUAAAAAACUUUCCGAUUUGUGCAGGGUAUGAAGCCUCUUAAGUAGGACUUCUUAGGUGCUACUAUUGUGUUCGGCAAAUAUUUUCUUCUUUUAUUUUUCUUUUUUCAGUCACCAUAAUGGGAGUCAUGGUGAAACAACUUACUAAUCACUCUGGACAGGAAUGGGCUUCUGUAAGUGAAGCACACUUAUUUCACUCUUUCCUUAGUAUGGAGCUGCUUACCGUUGGGAUGAAGAUGGUAAUAGCUGCUUUAGAAAUUAGUUUUCUUCAGUAGGAAAAUUCUAAAUCUUGGAAAAUUUAAAGUUGUACUAGAAAACAAGCUGCCUAUUCAACCAAUGGCUAAAUGUAGCAUAGUAGUCUCCUUAGACGAUUAAUUAGAUUGCAUUCCUUUUGAUCUCUCUCUUUUCAUUUUUUCUCCUUUUUGACUUGCACCUCUCUGUUCCUUUCCCCAAAAAAAAAUUUGCACUUCUCUGCUGAUGUCUUCCCAAUAUCCUAUGAUGCACAAAUGCACAAAUACUCUUGAAAUGUGGUGAAAUGUUUAUGGUAUUACUUGUCGUAGCAGAAGCAUCCUCCUAAAAUUAUUUAUAAGAAACUCUUUUUACUCUCUAUGCCAGUGGAGUGGGCCUUCAAAAGGAAAGGAAAAGUAGUACCUAAAGUUGUGAAAAGGAAGAAUUUGCAAGUCAAAAAUGAAUAUAUUAUGCAUGGCUACAUAAAUUGGUACAUAUAGCUUUUGCACCUAAUCUGAUUAUCUCGAUUCCUGGACCCAGAACUAAUAGCCUAAUUAUUACACAAGAUAUUUUGCUGCUGUCAUACUACUUGCAUAUAUGAAUGCUGAUUUUUAAACGGAAAUAUUUAACAGAGCACUGACAGAAACAGAGGUAACACCCGAGCCGGGUUACCGUGGUAAUUGAAAACAAUCAAUUAACACGAUAAAUCUGGUGGGUUUGUAGUUAAUUCUGCCAGCGCUCUGUUAGCUCCAGUAUUUGACUUAUUGACCUAUCUGUGGUUGAAAGAAAAAUGAUUUAAGUAAACUUUCGAAAAUGUUUUAUCCUUGUUUUAUUUCUGAAUAUCAGCAGUGCAUCAUUUUGAAAAUGUGACUAUGGGGUUUCAGGAUCCUCUCGAGCCAGUUUUGUUGUUCACAAAACCCCUUGUGCCAGAAAAAUUGGAUGCUGCAGGUAUUGUUCCGCCAUCAGAUUCUUCUACGAGGAAUGGCACUAUAGCAAGAACUCACAAAUUUCAUGGAAGAAUUGGUCGAGGGGGGCGGAUAGUAUUUGAUAGAUGUAAUCCUCUUAUGCACUCCUCAACUGAUAGUGCCACGUCUUUUUACUUGCCACCAAAACCCCGCACAUCUAUGUACAGUUAAAUUGUCCGAGCUCGAGCAUUAUUCGUUAGGGAGCCAAGUGUAAUUAUGCUCCGGCUGAUAUUUAUGUAGUUAAAUUGAAUACUUCCAUUGUCCGAGCUCCAGCAAUUAUUUGUUUGGGAAGCCAAGUGUAGUUAUGCCGAGGGCAAGCAAAAUACUGGGCUUGAUGAAUCUUUUGAGGCUUGGUCACAGGUAUUUCAUGCCGUGCAUCAUCUUGCCUUAUUCUUUUUAAAGAAAUGACCUUGCCCUAAUUUUCCUUUCAAGUUUAAACUUAAUGAGCUUUUAUUACAUCCUUUAUUGUUGAAAUGCUUGUGCUAAUCAUAGUAUUUUCAAAAUUUCCGCGCCCCAGUUGAUUAUAAAUUUUGUGUGAAUAUUACAAGAUAAAACUUACCUUUAAAAUGUUAACGAACCUGUAAGAUUGGACUUCUCUUUAAGACCUUGAAUUAAGUGGAGGGUGUUUUGGGGUUAAUAAACCAGCAACUAUGCAUAUACUUGGCCAAUGAGGAAUCCUACUAGUACAGAAUAAGGUUGCACAAGACAGUUGAAUAGAUGACGCAAUGGAGACGUCUCUGUAUCGACUCAAUUCAAACUAAUUGUACAACUUCAUUUCUGAAGGAGUCACCAUUUUUAAUCCCAUUUGGAGAAUGUGUACAUCAGGUGCUAAUGCUUAUAAUGAAAAUGAUGCACUAUGUUUUGUGUUUUUCGAAUUUAAAAAUGUGUCUAAUAGUGUAUUUUCAGAAUUGGACUAUAAAAAUAAAAAUAGAGAAAACGAUAUAAAAUUAAGGUAAUACUGGACGAAAAAGUAUGGCCAAGGAAGCAGUAAUAUUUGGUGCAUUUCAUUUUUUCAAUAAAAAAAUGAAAACAAAAUUUUCAAUAUCUAUUCAUCAUUUUUUGGAAAAAAAAAAAAAAGCUUAAAGAAUAAAUGAAAGGGUGUUUUAAAACAAAAAUGUGAUUGGUGUUUGAAAAAUGACUGUCUCGGUUAGGUAAAACAGUCACAUAAUCAUUUUUUUUUAAAACACAAACCUUUUGGUUCAUAAAUAAUCACACAAAUUCUAAUGUUUUAUCUAAAAGAGAGUCUGUGUAUCUCAAAAGAGACAUGUGUGACAUUUUCUAAAAACAAAAUAUCUUUAUAGUUAUUUUGCCAAAUCACGUGUUGCCUUUAGAAAUAGAAUAGAUUUUAAUUUGCCCAAUUUACAAUAAAAAUCUUUAAUUUAUCACCUAAAAGUAAUUUACCCUAUUUAUUAUUAAGAAGAUUAAAAAAAAGAAAAUUCAUCAAUACAUUCCUUAUUUGCCCCUCGUCUUUUGGACGAAAAUGAAGAAUAAAUUGAGGUUUACAUUGAGAGCAAAUUAGAGAUUAUCAUUUUAUUUGGGAAUGAAUUGAAGUUUAUCCUUAGGAAUAAAAAUUCAAGAGAAGUACACGAAAAAGGUAAUAAUUUUCACUUUUUAUGGAGUAUUUGGAUAAGGGUAUUUUGCACCCCACUAUUUUUAUAAAUCCACCCUAUUUCUAGAAACUAAUUGCAAUGAAUUCACAAUAUUUUUUAAAAAAUACAAAUUAAUAAAAAUUUUGUAUAGUUAAUAAGUUAAAUCCUUCUAUUGAUUUUCUUCAUGAGUUCUUUGACCAUAUUUAAUCAUAAAGUUUAAUACAAAAUUUAUUUUAGUAUUUUAUUAUUAUGAUAUAUAGCGACUAAAUUACCAUAAUAAACAUGAGUUAUUGUAUCUAAUAAUUUAUGUAUCUAAUUUUGUGGCUUAUAAUAUAAUAUUUUUAAAUAAAAUCUAAUUGUGAUUUUCUCUACUUUAAUGUGUAAAUAACAUAAAAUUGACAUCCCAAUAAUUUACAUGAGUAUCAUGCCCUAAAGAUACUACUUUAGUUUAAUUAAAGAUUAAAACUUACACUAGUAAAGUAGUAUUAGAAACAAUGAGUUUGGUAUAAAAUUAGAAAAAUAUUUAAAUUAAAGUAAAUUCUUAAUAGUUUUACCUUAUAAGGGUAAAAUAAUCAAUUUAAACUUAUGACAAAGCAAUCUUUGUAGCUAAAUAUAAUAAAAUAAUCUAAAUCAUAAGAAAGUAAACUAAAAUAAAUCUAGUUAAUUAACUCUACAAAGUUCUUCUUUGUUUGAAAAUUUUAAAACAUAACAUGUAUGUUUUAUAAUUAUUUUUUAAAAAACGGGAUGAGUUUGCAAAAAUUAUUAGACGGAAAUACCAUCACCCGGAGUAUUUUAGUAAAGCACCUGAUAUUCGUUUCAGACGAAGUAUUAUUAUUUUGAUUUUUCAGGAAUAUCAGUAAAAUUUUCAUAUAAUAGUGGAAUAAGCCCAAUAAAUAAUUGUAUAAAAAUUUUUUGUCAUAGCCAUAGUCUCAUUGAGGUGGAAGCAGGGGAGGAGUAGGCCAAGCCAGGCCACAGAAAAUAUUCAAUUGAAAAAGCAAGAAAGGAAUGAGCGUGUGGAUGGUAAGGGCUCGGGCUCCCUCUUUCAUUAUUCCAAUAACAACACUCAGGAUUGGAAAUGGAAAUGGAGAUGUAAAAGGCCGGCGCUUGCCCCUAUUGAGCAAUAAGAAUUGGCAGUUUCAGUUGCAGUUGGAGUUGCAGCAGAGGAAUGAGGAGAAGAAGAAGAGACAAAAUGUUACCAUCAGUUAUACUAACAGUAGCAGUGGAGGGGAUUCUGCUUCUGCUGCACUGGAAUUGGAGGUUAAUGAGACAAAAUGUUACCAUCAGUUGUUCAGAAGCCAACUGUGCUUAUAGGUAAUUCUGUUGGAAGCCUAGCUUGUGUUAUCGCUGCCUCAGGUAUAUUUAUUUUAACUUCCCCUUGGACAUCAGAUAUUUUUCAACUUGCUUGCAAAGAAACACUUGUCGCUAAUUAUCCUUUUUGGUAUCUAUGGUUUACGAUAAACCUGCUAUAUUUUCUACCAUAAGAAUCCAGUCAAACCCUUGUUCGAGGGCUUGUUCUGUUGAAUUGUGCUGGUGGCAUGAACAACAAGGCAAUUGUUGAUGAUUGGAGAAUCAAGCUAUUGUUACCAUUGCUUUGGUUCAUUGAUUUUUUGUUGAAGCAAAGGCCAAUUGCUUCUGCUAUAUUUGAGCGUGUGAAACAAAGGUAUUUUCUCUUCUCUCUAUUCAGUCCAUUGUUCAUUAUCCCAAGACACUAGAGUCAAAAUUAAAAAAAAAAAAAACUCUAUGAUGUGCAUAUCUUGGUGCUGUAGGGAAACACUGAGGAAUAUUUUACUGUCCAUUUAUGCAAAUAAGGAAUCUGUGGAUGAAACACUGGUUGAGGUAUUAAUAUUCUCCUCUUAUAUGCCAUUUUAACCUGUUACAAAAAUGGCUACUCAGAAUUCAUGAAUAAACCUCAAAACUGCAGAUCAUACGAGAGCCUGCCAAUGAGGAAGGGGCACUUGAUGCAUUUGUUUCGAUUGUAACAGGCCCACCAGGGCCGAACCCAGUUCAAUUGAUGCCAUCCAUCUCUGUACCUGUACUAGUUUUAUGGGGUGAUGAGGAUCCAUUCACACCCCUCGAUGGACCUGUUGGUAAAUACUUCUCAUCUCUGCCUUCUAAACCCUCAAAUGUGAAGUUAAUUGUAUUGGAAGGAGUAGGACAUUGCCCCGAUGACGACAGGCCUGAGUUGGUCCAUGAAAAGAUGCUUCCUUGGUUGGCUGAAACAUUUAAUUUCUGAGGAAUUACUUUCUCAUCAGCAAGUUUUAAUGAGCAUUAUAUAUUAUUCCUAUUGUAAAAAGACAAAACAACUCUUGUAUUUAUGUUGUACAUAUCAAUUCUUAUUCAACCGCUUGGUUAUCUUUUGGCGCCGAAAGGAAUGUUGGAGAAACUGAUCUCUGACAAGUUGUAGAAGCUCCAAAUUGAUUCAAGAAAUGUAUCAAAUUAUUCAAUAAAAAAUAAAAUUCAGCACAAUAAUAAAGAAUAAUGAUUUAGUAAUCCAUAUUGCUCAUGUCAAUGAUAUGAGAAUGAUAAGAUCCAAUUUUAUACAUGAAAAAGAUACAAUAAUCUAAAUCGAAAUAUAAGUUCACAGGCAUCCUCAAUCCUUUCCUUACAAGUCAUUUUUGUAAAUAUAAAUGCUAACCAUAGACGAUACCACAUCAACUAUGCAAUCAAAUGCACCAUUCCAAAUAUGGAAUUGGUAGAGAUACUUGAAAAAGUGCAUACAUGUUUAAGCAAAUGGAUUCACAACUCAGGUGAGUUGAGUGAAAAUGACACCUAUCUCAGUCUUCUUCGUUACAGUUGAACCAUGUGCUUGGGUCUUCCAUUGACGUAGGAUCUGGGGUGUGAAGUAAAUGGAUCCCACAUUUUUUCACCCCGCAGCACUGGCACUCCAAAGGUGGAAAAACAUUAAAGUGGACAGCCUCAGGAAUGCAAUUGCAUUUCCAAAAACCAUUAAAAUCAUCUUCGCAGAACAGAUAGUACCCCAAAUGUAAGUGAUCUGAUUCUACAUAAUUAACUCUGCUCUGAGAUAAUCGUGUGUCAUGCGUACCACAAUCUUUGGUGGUUUUCACUUUGAGCUCAAAAGAAAAUGAAAACCAUCUGCCACAAUCUACAUGACGGUCUGAAAAUGCUAAAAUAGCACUAAAUGCAAUGCCCUGCACUCUGCUAUUAUUGAAGAAAUCUGCCGGCAUCUCCAAGGUUAUAAAAGAUCCCACACUUUGAAACUCAAACCACUUUGGAAUUUCAUUCCCAGGUAGUACUAUAUGACCUUUGC
rnacentral:lncRNA from 1 species